CAUACAACCAGCAGGGAGCGGACCUGAGGUGGGCACCCAUGUGCACCUGCUUGUAAACGUGCACUCUUGCCGUCGUUCCGGGCUGAGGCAGGAGGGGAACCAGCAAAUGCACAAGGGAGCCCUUGGAACACACACAUCCCUGCUGAUGACCCUCUCCUCCUCACUUCCGUUUCCCAAACAUUUCCUGUGAUUAAGGAAGGGAAUUAAUUAUUGAUGAGGCAGCAGGCCAGCACAGAUAGAAAUCCCACUCGGACUGGACACGUCGCCCCUGUGGAGAGCUGGGAUUACCGUGGAGGAGAAUCGUUUUGCUCUUCCUUCAAGAAAAGGCCUGAACAAUUGGUCAGCUCCCAGCAGCCUGGUCUUUGGGCCCAAAUGGGCAUGGCUCUAAUUAAAGGUUGUUACUCAGGCCACCUGGUCUGUUCUCUCCCCGUGAAGUGCAUUGCGCCAAAAGGUAUAUCACGUCAAGGUAGAAAGUGGAAAUCUAACAAAACGUUUCAUCGCUGAAUAUUGGGAUGUGCCACAGUGCAAAGAAAGAUCACUCAUUCCAGCCAGUGGAACGCAUUUAAUAUUGUCCAAUCCUAAAAAGGACUGACUGCAAGAUCCAAGCUGAACGGUAUCCAGACAUCUUAGCAUGGCCCACAAGGUCUUCCAUGAUGUGCCUUCGCUGAUCUCGGCUUCCCCACAAGGUCAUGAUCAUCCUGCCCCAAGGCCUGUGCCGUUCCCUGGGCUGGACUACCUUCCCCACCGAUCUCAGGGAUGGCUCCCAUUGGUUCCAGUUUCAGCUGAAAUGUCACCUUCUCAGAGACCUCUUCCUCUGUCCCAGGGCACAGCCUUUCACAUGACCCUGUCAUUUCUCGUCUUCGCAGCAUCGAGGCUGUGGGAAUACCUCUGCUUUGAUUUCCUGCUGCCGUCUGUCUCCAUCACUAAAAUGAAACUCCCUGAAAGUAGGAAUGGUCUGUGGUCUGCAGGUGGUACCUUAGCAUCUAGAAUAGUGCCAGGCAUGAAGCAGAUGCUCAGUAAUACUUGUGAUGUUUUAAUUAAUGACGCUAAGGGCAUAAAUAGAGACUAUAUAAUGGUCUUUGUAUUCAUUUGCAAUAGAAGAAACUUCAAUGAAAAGGGAAGGGGCAUAUGUAAUGGCAAAGGCUAUCAGUGAAUUUAUGAUUGCCUGGAUCUUUAUGAGUCUUAAUUGAAAUCUCACCAAACUAACACCUAUUCACCUUUCAGCUCGGAAGCAGAGCUCACUCCCUUCUGGAAGCUUCCCCAACCAACAUAUUUUCUUCAGUCUUGCUUCGUCACUUAUACGUCUUCCAUGAUCGCACUAAUCACACUGUACUAUAACUUCCAGCUUCCUAGUUUGCCUUCACCACCGGACUGUUUUUGUCUUGCAUAGUGCAUGGUACUUUGUUGUUACCCAGUAAUUAAAAAUAAAUAAGAUAGGGGCACCUGGCUGGCCUAGUCAGAGGAGAAUGCGACUCUUGAACUCAGGGUUGUGGGUUCGAGCCCCACGUUGGGUGUAGAGAUUAUUUCAAAAUAAAAUCUUUAACAAAAUAAAUAAAACCAACCAAACUGAACCCAGCCAAACAAAAUAAGAUAAAAUAAGAUUAAAUAAGAUAAAAGAAAAGGAAAGAAAAGGAAAGAAAAUGAGAUAAAAUAAAAUAAAAUAAAAUAAAAUAAAAUAAAAUAAAAUAAAGGGAUGCUUAUGACAUGGUUUUAAAGGAAAGCUCUAAGUUGCCACUGGAGGACUUUUCACCGACUGUUAAAGUGUCUAAUAAACCCCCUGUGCCCAGAAAUCACUCGGGCUCUCUCCCCUCUUUGAGUGAUUACCAAGAGGCAUUAUAACCCUCUGGGGAGUCUUAGCUCCCAGACUCUGCCAUUUACAGUGUAAUGUAAGAAGUCCGUUUCUGGAAGCAGCACCGUGCAUGGUGGUACCUUCCAGCAUAGUGAAAACUCGAAAAAUAGGGUGGUCUCAGCCAGGGGUCAAAUUGCAGAUACAAUGCUUUAUGUAUCUGGCAGUGCUCUAGAGACAAAUACAUAAUCACCGAGGUAUGCGAUCCGGUCGGAAAAUUCAGGCCAGAUAGAAUGACACGGGUAGAAACGCACACGCACACAAACACACGUAACAAUGAGCGCUCUUAUUUGUAAAAACCACAUGAAGGGAUGGCAGUUCCCUACCUCUGAAGUGAUUUAUAAAUUAAAAUAAUUGCCUCUUUGAACUGUUCAGAUAUUAAUUGACCUAUCACUAAUGUAUGCACGGUCCCCAAACCAUCCAAACAUUACCUAAACAUUUUUAUUCCCUUUAUUCUGGAUAUCCAAAAAGACCACAAAAAUAGGCUCUUUGUUCUGACGCCAAGGGCCAUAAAGGAAAAGCCAUCAUCUUUGAUGACUUUGCUGUUCUUAUUCUAUUUCUUCCUCAAAUUAAUUCUAAGUGAAAUAGUGAGUACUCUGAGCUUGAAUAAGCCUUCCCACUCCCCUCCCCUUCUAACAAUCUCAUCCCAGCGCACAUGGAUCCAGUUCUGGCUCAGAUUUCUGGUAAUGAGAGCAGGGCAAUUCAUUAUUUUUUUUUAUUAAUUUUAGCUUUGGGUACACAUCCCAAACCACCCCAGAUUGUGGGUGGCAGGCAUUUCCUUCCUAGGUAGAAUGAGGGAGAAACUACACAUUGGCCAAGGCCCAGAUGUGCAUAGACUGGAACAAGUUUCCUGGGGGCCCAUUCCGCAGAGGGUGAUCUUGACCUAAAUUGAAAGGCAGGCAGAAAAGCUUAGCGCUUAAGACAGGAGCUUUAGAGCAGUAGUUGCAAACCAGAGGCGAUUUUGCAUCCCACCCCCAGGGCAAAUAUGGCAAAUCCGGACACAUUGUUGGUUGUUCCAACUUGGCACAACCUGGCAGUUGGCAGGGGUGGGAGGGUGGGGUGUGGAGGGGAGUGCCAGUGGCACCUAAUAAGCAACUGAGGAUAGUGCUCAGUCCUACGAUGCCCAAGACAGUCCCCACAACAAAGGACUAUCCAGUCCAAAAUGUCAAAAGUGCUGAGGUUGAGAACUCUACCCUAGAGUCCAAAACAUUUGAAUUCACAUUCCCACUCUGCUCUUUUAUGGCUGGGACUGUGGGCCAUGUUUCCUGAUCUCUCCGAGCCUCAGAUUUCUCUUCUGCCAAUGGAGAUAAUGAUAAAAUACCCACUCUGCUGGCCUUCUGUCAAGGCUGGCACUGGUGAGGGUUUGUAAGUACAAUUUAUUUUCAUUUCUCUAUUAACGUAUUCGUUUUAAGUUCGUUUUUGAGAUGGAGACAGUGCAAGAGGGGGAGGGGCAGAGAGAAAGGGAGGCAGAAUCCCAAGGAGGCUCCAUGCUGUCAGCACAGAGCUGGACAUGGGGCUCGAACUCACAAACCCUUGAGAACAUGACCUGAGACAAAACCAAGAGUCAGACGCUCAGUGGACUGAGCCACCCGGUCUCCCCUGAUGUAUUUUAUUUUUUUAAUGUGUUUUCAUUUACUACAUAAUUAUUGUAAGAAUCAAGUACUUUUAAAAAUUUUAUUUUUUGUUUUAUUCCAUUUUGUUUAUGAAAAAAAUGUUUUUAUGUUUAUUUUUAUUUUUGAGAGAGAGAGAGAGAGAGAGAGAGAGAGAGAGAGAGACAGAGCACCAGCAGGGGAGGGGCAGAGAGAGAGGGAGACACAGAAUCUGAAGCAGGCUCAGGCUCUGAGCUGUCAGCACAGAGCCCGACACAGGGCUUGAACCCAUGAACCCUGAGAUCAUGACCUGAGCUGAAGUUGGACGCUUAACCAACUAAACCACCCAGGCACCCCUAUUCUAAUUUGAUUUAGAAAGAGAGUAUGUGCAAAUCAGGGAGAAAGGCAGAGGAAGAGAGAGUGAGAGAGAGAGAGAGAGAGAGAGAGAGAGAGAAUCUUAAGCAGGUUCCACACUCAGCACAGAGCCCAACACAGGGCUCAAUCCCAUGACCCAGGGAUCAUGACCUAGGCCUAAAUCAAGAGUCAGACGCUCAACCAACUGAGCCACCCAGGUGCCCCAAGUACUUUUUUUUUUUUUUAAAGUAAGUUCUACACCCAGUGUGGGGCUUGAACUCACAACCCCGAGAUCAAGAGUCACAUGUUAUAGCGACUGAGCCAGCCAGGCAUCCCUCUGUUAAUGAAUUUUAAAUGAAAACACAAAUUGCCACAACUUGAGGGGAACUGUCAACUUUUAAAUUUCGGUUCUGAACCCAAGUUUUACUUUGUCUUUAUAUUAAUGCAAAAUGCAUGAUUCAAUGGAAGGAUACAGAAACGCAUAAUUCAAUCUAUAAAAUAGAAAGAUCUGGCAAUAAUUGACUCUUCGUUUGGUGUGGCUAAGUAACACUAAUUUCAAAAUGUCAAAAACCCAUUCUGUUUUGAGUCAAUAAUAGGAAAAAACAAUUAUGAAUAGAUAUGUUUUCCAGCCUCUACCCAGAUCCAUGGUGGCAAAGUCAGAAAUACAGGACUACUUGCUUGAGUUUAAAAAGUUAAAAAAGUCCCAAGUUUCUAGUGGGCAAAGACACAGCGUUUUCAAAAUGCUUAAGAGAGGAGAAGAAAAUGGACAUCUAAGUCACAUUCUGGUAUACUUCCAUGUGAUGUUAAUGUGUAAUACCAGUUUAAGCAAAUAUGACUGCUAUACAAAGUUUAAUAUUUAUUUGAAUAUGAAAUCAAUGUGGUCUUAUAACACGUUUACACGAGAAUUGUCCUGAAACUGUUAUUUAAAAUCCGAAAUCUUUUGGUAUUACAUAGAAAUAGUGUGCUAGUGCUUUAUAUCAACUGAAAAUACUGUUCCCAGAUAAUCUGAUGUGUGAAAAUCACGGCCUCCCGAUACUUGUGAAAGUCACAACUCACCCUUCCUUGUACUGGUUCUUACUUAACAGACCAACGAGGAUAGUCCUGGGGUGCCUGGAUUAAUACAGUUAGUCCUGGAUUCUCUCUCUCUCUCUCCUUCCGCCCCCUCCCCUGCCCUCUCUCACGUACAUGUGCUCACUCCCUCUCAAAAUAAAAAAUAAAAAUUAAAUAACAAUUUUUAAAAAAGAGGACAGUCUUUCUGGUCAUUCUACAGAUAUUUCCUGAGUGCUAACUAUGCGCACCCACUAUGACAGGUGCUGGGGAUAGGUCAUGUUUUGCAACAUUCAAACGGUCAGGAGAUAGCAUAGCUUGGAGAGUGAGUUCUCAGAUUCGGGACUCAAAGAAAGGUGGCUUGAUUUCUGGUUAAGCCAUGUGUUAGCUGGUGACCCUCUGGCCACCUAUCAAACUUGCCAGAGGCUCAGUUUCCUCAGCUGAAAAAUAGGCUGAGAGAGUUUUUCUCCCCUUUUGUUAAAAAAAAAAAAAAAUGCCAGUACAAAGCACUGUACAAAGCACAGUACAGAGCACAGUACAAAGCAUUAAGAAAAGUGCUCAAAAACCAGUUAUGUUAUUAUAAGGGCCACUAUGCUAUUUUUACAGCCCAGAAAUGGCCCAGUUUUGGAAAAUGGAGGCCGUGUUUCUACAUCAAUGGGAGAAUUUAAAAAGCAUUACAAACGGGAGGCUGAAUAAGCCAUAUUUCUUACAGUUACGUGUAUACGCUUACCAAAUGGAGCCAGCUGUCACAAAAACAAUCCAAGGUUGUUGUUGCUGCUUUUUGUUUUAAUUCUUAAACUUCUGAUGGCCAACUGGAUGCUUAAUCCAGUAGCUGGCCGAGCUUCUCCACAUGGCAUUGUUUACAUAUUUUCUUCAGACAUGGGUAGUAUUAUGAAACAAACCCUUCGGUUUGCACACAUUCAGAGCUGCUCUCUAACUUCACUUCUGACAAAUGUAUUUUUUUAAUGUUUAUUAUUUUUGAGAGAGAGAGAGAGAGAAAAACAGAGCAUGAGUGGGGGAGGGGCAGAGAGAGAGGGAGACACAGAAUCAGAAGCAGGCUCCAGGCUCUGCCAGCACAGAGCCCAAUGCGAGGCUCGAACUCAUGAGCUGUGAGAUCAUGACCUGAGCCAAAGUUGGAUGCUUAACCAACUGAGACAUCCAGGUGCCCCCUGAUAAAUGUAUUUUUUAUAGACAGCCAACUCAUGACAAAAUUCUCCAUGGUCGUGAAGAAGAAACACAAAUGGUAAAUAGCACUUACUGUUUUUCUUAUUAAAAAAAAAAAAAGCAAUAUGUGGUUUCUUGUGAAAAAUAUAAAAAACACAAAAGGAAGAAUAUAAAACAUUCACCUCUAAUCUCAAAGACCAGAGAGAGUUUUUCUUUUCUGUGCGUGUGUGUGCAUGUGCGUGUAUGUGUUUGUAGGCAUACACAUUGAAUGCUACUCUCCCUCAACAAACUUUUCCUACUUCAUUUUAUCCUUGAUUGGGAUCACCAGAUGUUACCAUACUAAAAACAGAGGUCAGCAAACUCUUUCUGUGAAGGGCCACAUAGUAAAUAUGUCAGACUUUGUGGGCCAUGUCAUCUCUGUCACAACUAUUUGAUUCUGCCAUGGUAGCAUGAGAGCCACCAUAAACAAUCUGUAAAUGAACGUGGCUGCAUUUUGCUCACUGCAGGCUAGAUUUCUCCCCAGCCCGUAUUUUGCUGACUCUUGUACGAGAGCCUCAUGGAUAGUUAUGAUAGAUUAUGAAGCAUAAUUAUACUCUAGUGGUAUCACUAAGUAUAUUUUGUUAUAACGCUUCCAAGGAAAAACGCUGGCUCUCUAAUCUCGUAGAGCGCUUUUUAAAAUUUAUUUUUUAUUUGAUUUUUUUUUAAGUAAUCUCCACAGCUACUGUGGGGUUCGAACUCACACCCGGAGAUCAAGAGUCACACGCCCCACCAACUGAGCCAGCUGGGCACCCAAUGCCUUAGACGAUUUCUUAAAGGGUUAUCACGUGAGCGCGUAUUUUGAGAAAUUAAACAUAAACGAAAGAUAACCAGGCAUGAAAGGAAACAAGUUUUCUGGAGGUCAAUUAAAAAUGCAAAGGACUCCUGACACGGCUCAUAAUUAAGUGUGUGCUUGUUUCCCCUGAGCUCGUCGUGUUGUUUGGGGAGCAGCAUUCCCAGGGAAUGCACGAAGAGGUGGCCUGUUUCUCCUGGCUACCAGAGUCUUUGUGUUGCCUUACGUGAAUAGUGUGAAUCCAACUCUCUGUCGCAGCUGCUCCCAAGAUCCAGUAGCUUUCUCAAAUAAUAACAUCAUUUGUUACUAAAUGGUUCAAAUGGGGGAAAGGAAGUCCUUGAAUGGAUUCCUUUGUGUUUCAUUCUGUGGAAACAGAGAGGCAUGGGUUAUAGGUUGUGCUCUGCGGGAAGCUAAGUCAGGGUCAAAUAUUAGCAUUUGGGAGGUUGAUUAGGAAGUGCUCUUGGGAUCAACACCUGGGGACGGGGUGGGACAAAAGCAGGAUGGGGCAGCGAGAGAGAGGUUGGGCUGUUCUGCACUCUCAGCAAAAGCUCAGCAGACCCCAGUGGGAGCUCUGGAGCUGGGGAGACCCUGCGACAUCGUCCUGAGUUGGAGAGAGGAGGUCUGGCCUUUCCAGUGGUGUUGACCAGGUACUGGCAGAGGGCAAGGUAGCGUCCCUCAGCGGUCUUUUCCCAAGGUGGGCAGACAACCAAGGGUGCUUUCUAGCAGGGAGGAUAAGUCCUUCAACCCCGAAGGAAGUUUAUGGGUGGUGCGUCAGGGCACCUACUGUCUCCAGGGUUAACUCGAGAUGAGAAACUUGCCCAAGUCAAUAUUCUGUCCUUAGUUUGAAAAACCAAUGUUUUAGGGGUAGUGUGGCAUUUUAGCUCAGGUUUAAUUAAGCCAUUUUGGUUUAGUGAUUUCACUGAGUCAUUACUUCAGUUUCAAGACCUGGCAACUCUCUCUGUGCAAGGCACUGUCAGUGCAUGUAAGUUAGACACAAAAACAAAUUCAAGGCCUAGGUCUUGUCCUCGGGGACCUGAUAGUCUCUUUGGAGAAUGCAGAAACUUGAGAUUCAAGGAUUUUGAAGUGGUGACAAGUAUUGGGGAUGAUGUAGCAAUUCUUGGGCUUAAAAAAACACCCUUUGGGGCGCCUGGGUGGCUCAGUCGGUUAAGCGUCCGACUUCGGCUCAGGUCACGAUCUCACUGUCCGUGAGUUGGAGUCCCACGUCGGGCUCUGUGCUGACAGCUCAGAGCCUGGAGCCUGUUUCGGAUUCUGUGUCUCCCUCUCUCUCUGACCCUCCCCCGUUCAUGCUCUGUCUCUCCCUGUCUCAAAAAUAAAUAGUUAAAAAAAAAAACAAACCACGCUUCACCCAACCCAAAUUCAUGCAAAAGAAUUCCCAUUUUACUUUUUUAAGCCACUACCCUUUAUAAGUUUAUUAAUAAAUGGCAUUAGUAAUAAUCAUGGCUCCGUUUCUGCUGCAGGGAAGCCUGGGGUAAUAAACAGAGUAGAGAUGUGUGGCAAGACUUGGAGACUGGUAUCAUGGCCAAGAUUUAUUAUCUCCGAUAGACACUUAGUUAUCUAAAGUCCCCUGUGCCAGCUACCCCAGCUUUCAAUACUGUGAUCUAUCAUUUUCUUUGGGGUGUCACUUUUUUCUUCCCCCGAGGGUUGUAUAUAUUUUACCAGCAUAUUAUAAUACAUUACAGAUAUUACCCAAGGGUCCCAUUGAAUAAGAAUCCUAUAUUCAAAACACACUUUGACUCACAAAUGGAAUACAGCUUUAGCGCUUUUUCACCUGCAAGUUACAAACGAGAUCCCUGUACAAUUAAGAAGCCAGAGUGGGACUUUAUACUGGCACCUGGAGGGUUGUGGACCAAGUUCAAGAAUAUGAAAAAGUGUUUGUGGAAUUCAGAGGAGAGCAAAAAAGAUCUCAUUCAGAACACGUAAAAUGCCCAAAUAACUGCUUCCGUGUGACAUACAUGCAAGGCAUAUGUAACUACCUGGGGUUUUACGGUUUUUAGGAAAUACUGGACGUCAAAUAUCAUGUUCAGCAACAACACAAUUCUUUUUUUAAAAAACUUUUUUUUUUUUUUUUUUACACUAUCUCUAUUUUUGAGAGACAGAGAGAGACAGAACAUGAGUGGGGGAGUGGCACAGAGAGGGAGACACAGAAUCCGAAACAGUCUCCAGGCUCUGAGCUGUCACCACAGAGCCCGAUGCGGGUCUCGAACCUACAGACUGUGAGAUCAUGACCUGAGCUGAAGUCGGACGCUUAACCGACCGAGCCAUCCAGGUGCCCCACCGCAAUAACGCAAUUCAGUAUCAGCGGUUUCGUUUACUCAUUAUUUAUUCCUUCUUUCAUUCCAUCCAGGCAGCAUCACUGAUAUCGUCUGUGUGGAUGGCGCCUCUGGAGCUGGGCAGUACACAGCCUGUACAACUGCAUCCUGGGGCCCCGAUUCAACAAUAUGUACUGGGUGAGUAUGUGCCAGGCACUGUGCUGGGCACUGAGAGCAGAGUGGUGAGCAAGACAGAUUCGGAUCUUGCCCUCAUGGAGCUUUAUUUAAAUGAAGUCGGAAAAAAACCCCACAAAAAGCAAACAAAUACAAGUUGAGAUAAGUCCUCUGAAGUAUAGGAACAGGAUAGGAUAUGGACCUCUCACAGGGAGAUCUAGGCUGGCAGGUAAGAAAUUCUGAGGAAGUAACUCUGAAGGGGGGCCCUAAAAGACAAGAAUGUGUGUGGUUGUGAAAACUGGGAUAGGGAAGAUCAAGAAGUAGUAUGAGAUAGCCCCAGAACUGAACCGGACCAGUGUAGACGGGGUACAGACGUGGGAGCGGGAGGAGAUGGGGCUGGAGAAGCAGACAGGGGACAGACCUUCCAGAGCUUUGAAGGCAGUGUUGAGGAUUUCGGUCUUCGUCCUAAGAAAUAUCAGAAGAGGGCACCUGGGUGGCUCAGUUGGUUAAGCGUCUGACUUCAUCUCAGGUCAUGAUCUUGCAGUUCCUGGGUUCGGGCCCCGUGUAGGGCUCUGUGCUGACAGCUCUGAGCUUGGAGCCUGCUUGGGAUUCUGUGUCUCCCCCCCCUCUCUCUGCACCUCUCCUGCUCAUACUGUCUCUCUCGAGGCAGAAUUAUUUGAUGUUAACAUCAAAGACCACCGCAAUCAAGUGUGGGGUUUGCCUAUUAAUAUGCCAUGUAGCUAAUAAAAUGGUCAUUCCCUUUUUAUUUACCAGAAGCCUAUGUGACAGCCUAAAAGUGAAUCCCUCUUUCCUCUUCUGUAACAUAUAGUACUGACUUGUUUGGGGAUAUUUGACAGACUAAAAUUUAAGCCCUCUUUCCUUUUCCAUAAUAUGUAGUACCAAUUCGUUUGGGAUUGCAGUGAAAAUUCAAAGAGACAAUACAUAACUAAACCAUUUAGCACAAUGACUGCUCUACCAUAAUUAUUGUUAGCUGCUCUUGCUUACUACUGUUAGCCGUACAUAUGUUAGAGGUUUACGGUAAGAAUCACAUCCUUUUCCCUCUAAAUUGAGAACCAAAAUUCAAGAAAAUAGAUACAGGAAUUAAACCAAGAGAGAUGAAAGGAUUAGUUUUGUAACUGAUAUUGCUAAUUGGAAGAACAUGGACUGGAUUUUCUGUCCACCUCUACCAAAUCUAGCAAUUGGUAUAGCUAAGCCAAGGAAACAUGGAAAUUGCUUUUUUUGCCUCCAUCAAAGAGGGAGCGGCCCGGACACUGUCCCGUCCCAGGUUGGCUGACAUCAUGGCAGAACAGAGCCGACCCCUCAGGUGAGUCACAGAGCAGAGAAGUUGAGAGCUCUGAUCGUGGCGUUGAACACGUGAGCGAACCUGGCCGUGCCAUUCAUUAGCCAAGAAAUACCCAGCUCUCAACGUUUCUGUGACAGUCUUGUCAUCUCUAAGAAGCGGAUGGUAAUGGCACCACCUCACAGGACUGUCAUGGGGGUUGAAUAGAUGAAAAUGUUGCUCUCUGGCACAUAGAAACUCCAGUAAUAUAUGUUUGUCGCUAUCAGUGUCGACAAAAAGAAUACAGAAUACAGAAAGCAUGGCACCCCCAUGUUCUCCAGUCCUUCCUAUCAAAGAGGUUACUCUUCUUCCCAAGGAGAAGAGCACGUUAGGAGCAAAUACUUCUGAAAGAGAGGUCGUGGUCCCAUGCAUUUUCUUUCUCUACUCUGGAUACUAAGCAGAAGGGAAUAGGGUUUACCUUCCAUAUAUUUUAUCACUUGAUAUGGGUUUGAAGCUAUCCUAUCCCUGCAGGUCCCUGUGUCCACCUGGAGAGAAGGGGCUUUGUCACAUUCAUCAAAUAUUCCCAUAAAAAAGGCCAUGUGCUGUGCUUUGCAUCCAGUCAGCACUCAAUCAAUGCAUGAUGCACUUGAACGUGAGCAUCUUUCUCUGAGAGAUUUUGUUUCCAAUAUACUACUUGUGAGGGGCUAAUGUGCGGGGGCAAAAUACAGGCUCUGAACGGAAGUGUGAGGUUCCCACUUGUUUUCUCCCUUUCUUCAAAACAAUCGAGGCUUCUGGAUCCUGAUUUGCAGGACCAUCCUGAAACUGCAGGAUAUCUGACACUGACAAAUUUUUUAGCACAGGGCAAACACUUUUUACAUUCAACUUCCUCGUGUCUGCUUUUUUCCUGAUCUAGAGUUAUUGGACUUAUAUGUCCAAAGCAGAAACAAAGAAUUAGAAAAAAGUUUACUGUAAGAUGAACACCUUGAUUUAUUUGCUCCCUCCAUUUGUAUGCUCAUAAAUUAGGUUUAGCUAAAUAUACACAUAGAGGAAGGAUUCAGUGAAAUAUGGAAUGGCAACUGGGGCGCCUGGGUGGCUCAGUUGGUAAGCAUUUGACUCUGGAUUUCAGCUCAGGUCAUGAUGUCAUGGUUUGUGGGAUUGAGCCCUGCAUCAGGCAUGGUGUGGAGCCUGCUUGGGAUUCUCUCUCUCCCUCUCUCUGCACACCACCCUCCACCCCUGCGGCCCGUUCUCUCUCUCUCAAAAAUAAAUAAAUAAAACAUUAAAAAAUAUGGUAUAGCAACUAAGCAAUAUAUUGUGAGGCUAGUAAAUAUGAAGAUUGUGUGGCUAUGUAGAAAACAUUCACAAAAUAAUAUUCAAUUCAGUAAAGGAGGGCACCAUACUGGAGGUAUACUAUCAUUCUAACAUAAGAAAUACAUUUCCUUUGUUGUACUAGUUACUCUCGGAAAUUAUUUGCUUGGUAUUUAUUACCUGCCUCCCCCAAUUGCAAUGUAUGUUCAAUGGGAUUUUGCCUAUUUUGUUUGUCUCGAUAAUUCCAUGGCCUUGUGGCAGGGUUUGGCACACCAUGGCCAGCUGGCCAAAUCUGACACGCUGCCUGUUUUGUAAAUAAAGCUUUAUUGAAACACCACCAGCCAUCUUUGUUCACAUAUUGUCUAUGACUGUCUUUGCCCUACAAUGGCUGACCUGGGAAGUUGUAACAGAGCCUGGGUGGCCCUGGAAAUCUCAGUCUUUUACUACGUGGCCCAUCAUGGAAGAUGUUUGCUGAUCUCUGGCCUAAACCACUGGCUGACACAUGUUAGUGCUUAAGAAGACUUAGAGAAUGAAUGAGUGAGUCAAUGGAUAAAUGAAUACAUGUAAAUAAAGAGCGACAGAAAAUGCUGAUAAAGAAAAACGUGUAUGAAAGGGAUAGAACUAUGGUUGACAUUCUUGCCUUUUGAAAUCCUGAACUGUUUGUUUAGCAACGUUAUUCCUUAAACAGAAGUAGAAGAAAAAUUUUAAAAGUCAUCCUACCAUCUUUGUAGAUCUCAGAGAAUAUAGUUUUGAGGUCUGCGGUUCAAGAAUUGCUGAAAUUCUAGAUUAUUGAGCUAUUCACUCAUGUUUUCAUUUUUAGUUCAAAAGCAAAGCGCCCUCAUUACUAAUUAUCCUUCUAAUUGUGAGUUAACAGUGGGGAAAGCCAGUCCGUGGGGAUUACUGGAGAGGCUAUGCCACAGCAGACCGUGUGGGUUGUGCAAACAUGAAUGGAACAGACCCGACUUGUGUAGUAAUGUAAAUAAUAUUUACCAAACUGGUCAUUCAUCAGAAUUAAAUUGAUCCAAGGCCCCACGAGGCUUGGUUAUCUCAGUCUGUGCUCCAGACAUAACAUUUACCUGAUAACUCACAGGGUCCCCAGGCCAGCUCUGCCCUCCUUAGUGGAGUUCUUCUUCUUUUGGCCUUCAAAAGGAGUCUUCUUUGUUUAAAAGUCAAUCUGUUGGCCGAGAAAAGAGAAAUCAGCAUAUACCUUUUUAAAAGAUCAAGAAACAAAAAUAGGACGAGAGACAUUUUGUUUGCUUCACGUGAUGAUGAAAAUUGGUCUCACACACUGCCUCCAUCCAUUCCCAUGCUCCUGUGAAUCUGGUGAGCACUUUUGUAACUAUUUGCUCAUUUGCUUAACACUCCUUUAGGGUCCUAUCCAACUACUAGCGGAAGCCAAAAGAGGAAAAGCAAUCUAUUCACCAAAAGGCUGCAUUUUUAAAAGACAUUCUGCAUACUCCAUUUCACAAACAACGGUACUGUGAGCUCUGGGACAUUAAUUUUUCAUAGGCAAGAUAUUCAUCUUUAAUGCACAUGGCCAUAGGUUCAAAAAGUGAUGUUAAGCUUGUGUAUGUUGGCUGGAGUAAUGCUGUUCAAGACUUCCUCCUAGCUCCCUGUUGCACAGGAGUUUUACCCCACUGUGUUCAGUGUUUUCCUUUGCAUUUCAGAGCCCUGGAAUCAAGUGUAAUUGAGGUUGCAUGCUGGAUUUUGGUAGAGGCAUGUGUUUGCGUGAAUUUACCUGUAUUUACAUCCUUCAUUAACAGUGGGGGCAAUUAUUCUAAAGUAACCAAACAAUAACAUGCAAAUUAUUUGACCCCUUUGAGCACAAAGUCAGGAAAAGAUCACAAUGCCCCAGAAAAGUGCUCGGAUACCUGAAUGACCUCAUUAAAUAUGGCUGUCCCAUCCCUCCUAGAGCUCCUAUUUAUAAUUAAUCAUUAAAAUGGCUAGAUUAAGCAGAAUCCAAUUAUGAUGAAGGCACAGCUUGCCUCUUUGGAAGAGAAAACGGAAAUGCUUCUCUAGCUUGGGGUGAUACAGCUCUUUGUACAGGUUCACUUCAGAAUUGACCUCGCUUGAACGAGACGGGAAAGGUCUUCGAAUGAACAGAAGAGGCGGCAGCCCCAAUAAAACAGCACUGACAUACGUAGACACACAGAGAAUGAAGACACCAAGUGGGACAGAAUGCCAAAGGCAUGCAAAAAGUCACGCCGACAGAAAUGGAGCAGGGACGCUAUUUGUGACUCUGCUUCAUAAAACACAUAUUUACUUAGGCCACGAACAUAUCUUUCUCCACAAUUUCAAAUGUAGGAUAUCACAUAAGCCUCUUUUUGCUCUAGACCCAAAGCUGCAGGAAGUCCACCAGCCGUGUACUCUGCUUUUAUUAGGUUGAGUAUAUCCAGAUGAUUUUAAUAAAGUUUUAAAAGGGCAUUAGUUUCCUGCUAUUUCAAUGAAAACCACUUGCAAGAUGAAUUUAAAGCAAUAGAUCUAUUUCUUGUCAACACGUGCCCCUUUUAUGCAAAUAGGCUACUCUUCUGUAAUAGCCAACAAAACAACACACACACAUAAUCAUCAACUGCGUGUGACAUGGAAGAAAAAUGUCAGUGUUGUAAAUGUUUAAAGAUGAAGAAAAUGGAACGUAUGCUGGGUGCCAUGGUAUGCUGUCCAGAUUCCCCAUUCAGGACCGAGGUUCUUGUUACCUCAAUUGCCGUAAGCUCAGAGUCUGGACACUGGAGGCUCUCUCUGGGAAGUGUCAGCCAAAUAGUGUCUUUAAAAAAAAAAGUAUUUAUUUUUGAGAGACAGAGACAGAGCGUGAGCAGGGGACGGGCAGAGAGAGAGGGAGACACAAAAACUGACGCAGGCUCCAGGAUCCGAGCUGUCAGCACAGAGCCCGAUGCGGGGCUUGAACUCAUGAACCGCGAGAUCAUGACCUGAGCCAAAGUCAGAUGCUUAACAGAGACUGAGCCACCUGGGUGUCCCGAUAGUGUCUUGUCUUAAGUCAUGCCUGUUCCCUAGAGGCAGCUCACAAACCAGUGACUGGUCAAUAUGUGUGUUGGAUGGGAGGGCAGAGAGAGGUGCAUAAAGGCCUGACCCCCUGACGUCACGUGACCGUGAGGCCAUUCUAGCAGGAAGCUACUGAGGUCUUGCUGUGACCACAUCAUGGUUCAACAUCUCCUUGGGCCCAGUUCUAUCUCUUGCUUCCUCCAACAGGGUUUAAACUUAAGAGAAUUACAUGCAGAUCUGUAGGUCGGAGCUAAUUUCCUAGGGAACCCAACCUAAAAUAGUGAAGAAUAUUCCUUCCCAAUCUCUCUUUGAUUUUCUUUUCAGCUUGUUAUUAUGGAAAUAUGCAAACAUACACAAAAGUCAAGAAUAUAACUCAUCAGCCUUAUCAACAUCUUGCCAUUUUUGUUUCAUCUAAGCCUUUUUUAAAGCUGUCUUCUUUUCAAGUCAAUCAUUUUAGCCGUAAAUAUUUCAGUAUGUAUCUAACGUAUGAAGAUGUUCUAAAAGCAAUAACCACAAUGCUAUUAUAACAUGUAAAAUUAACAUAUAAAAAUAAUUCCUUAAAACCAUCUAAAACCCAACCUGUGUCCAAAAUUCCUCAGUUGCUUCCAAUUUUUUUUUCUUUUUCUUUCCUUUUCUUUCUUUCUUUCUUUCUUUCUUUCUUUCUUUCUUUCUUUCUUUCUUUCUUUCUUUCUUUCUUUCUUUCUUUCUUUCUUUUCUUACAGGACACAAUGAUUUGUGAAUUGUUAUUCCUACUUGAGGACUCAUCUUAAGGUAAUCAUGACUCCUCACCAGCAUGCCUACCCUGGCCUUCUAUCUGGUCUCCUCGUCUGUACCUCACCUCCCUCUUUGGAAGCCUUUCCCACUGUUGUCAGGUCAGUUUUCCUAAGAUUCAGCUCUAUUAAUGUUUCCCACCACAAACAGCACUAUUUCUCUAAGUAUGGCGUAUGGAACAUUAGUCUGUCAACUGCGUUUUGAGAAAGGAAAAAACAUAAAUGGAUAUUCUGUGAUCAAAUAAAUCUCAGAAACGCUAUGAAUUUUGUUCCCUAUUCAAGGCUCUGAGCAGUCCUGCAGUAAAAGACCUGUCAAACCUUUUAAUCCAGUGCUUUUCAAACCUGUUUGGUGAUAGAACACUGUUUAGACCCUGUUGACAUCCAACAGAGACUGUGCUCUGUGGAACACCCCUUGGGAAUUGCUGGCUUCCUGGAACGGCAUUCAAGGUCCUUUGUAGCCUGACUGCAGCUACAUCUUCCAAGUAGUAGGUCUAGAAUUUUCUUUCCAUUUUUCUUCUUUGAUCCUUUGGUACCUGCCACCUUAGACAGUCCUUUUGUUGAAAUCCAUCACAUGCUGUAUUAUUUUUUUUUUUUUUUUAGUUUUUUGAUGUUUGUUUAUUUUUGAGAGAGAGAGAGAGAGAGAGAGAGGCAGAGAGAGGAGGAGACACAGAAUCAGAAGUAGGCUCCAGGCUCUGAGCUGUCAGCACAGAGCUCUAUGUGGGGCUUGAACUCACUAACAGUGAGAUCAUGACCUGAGCCAAAGUCGGAUGCUUAAUUGACUGAGCCACCCAGGUGCCUCUCCAUCACAUGCUUUAAAUCCCAGAUUCUCUAAGAAGCCUUACACAUAUUUCCCAACCAGAGUGAAUCGUUCCUUUCUCUGAAUUCUCAAAGUAUCUGUGCAAUAUGUGGCAGCCAUGGAGGCCUCAGGCUCUGAAUGAUGUUUUGCAGGUUACCAGAAAGAGGACUUUCUCAUUUCAAAAUGGGAAAAUGUAGCACUUGCUCCAUUAGAAUUAUGUUGUGGGUUAAACAAGAGGAUGAAUGUGGGUACGAUUAAAUCUAAAGUAUUAAAAUCAAGGUCUGCAUAGAAUUCAUCAUUGUACUUUCUGAUAAAUCUUGCAUAGCUUUGAGUACAAGUGAUCUUUGUUUACGUUUGUAGAAUUGUUAUACUCAACUGUUGACUCAAUUUUUCUACUCAUCUGAGAUUCCGGGUCAUCUGUUACCUUCAUAACAUUGAUGAGACAAAUUCUUUGUGCUUUUGGAGGAGAAUUCUGUGUUUUAGGCUGUGAUCAUUCAUCCUAGUUGUACUUAUAAACGAGAUGGGCUUUGGAAGGUCACUUAUCCUCUCUGGAGGUCAGUCUCCAGAUUUGUAACGUUUAAGAGAUCAAGCUAAGUCAAUAAGACUCUCAAAAAUUUUUUAAAUGUUUAUUUAUUUUGAGAGAGAGAGAGAGAGAGAGAAGAAGUGUGCAUGUAGCAGGGGGAGGGGCAGAGAGAGAGGAAGAGAGAGAAUCCUAAGCAGGCUUCAUGCCAUCAGCACAGAGCCAGACGUGGAUCUCGAUCCUGUGAACCACAAGAUCAUGACCCAAGCCGAAAUCAAGAGUCAGAUGCUUAACCAACUAAGCCACGUAGGCACUCCUCAAAAAAAUUUUUAAACCAAGACCUUUAAAAAUUAAUAUUGCCAUGAUUUGAAAGACAUUUAAAAAAAAAAAAGCAAACAGGACUCAUUGAAGUAAUAAUCAAUGAUGUUCCUAUUUUUUUCUAAUCAAAGUGAUAUUAAAAAAAACCUGAUGAUUUUGCUUCCUUGUUCAGUCUUACCACAAGUAAGUGGACAGUUUUUCCCUGGGCUUUCUAUAGUGUUGAACCAUGGCACUUAGACAUAGAUUGUGGCCUUCACGGAUAGAGAAGGAACAUAGGUGAUGAGUAGACCUCAUCUAGACAGACAAGGCAGUGAGAGAGUCGGUAGGAACAGAGAUCUGGGCAGAAGGAACUGGUAUAAAGGCCCAAACACAAGAAAGAUCGGAGAAAAUUCCGUACUUGAGGGAACUCUGUGUGUGUGUGCAUGUAUGAAUGCAGCACAUAUUUAUAUGGGGUCACGGUAUAAAAUUUAUUGCUAACUAUGUGUUGGGGUCAAAAAGGUUUGCUCAACAUGACUCCAGACUUCAGGAAGCUUUCUUACAAAUGCUUACUGAGUCACCAUGGGAACCAGGUGGUAGACAUUAAACAAAGCAGCACAAAUCCAUCUCUCCCACUAAAGAGAGCAUGACCUGUUGCUGUUGUGUAAGAAUCUACUGACAAGCUCAAGUUGAAAGAAAAACUUCCCCCAGAAGACCAGCGAUGGACUGCUUCACAAGAUGCACACGUUUGGGACACCUGAGUGGCUUGGUUCGUUCAGCUCAGGUCAUGAUCUUGCAGUCCUUGAGUUGGAGUCCCACACUGGCUCUGUGCUGACAGCUCGGAGCCUGGAGCCUGCUUCGGAUUCUGUGUCUCCCUCUCUCUCUGCCCCUUGCCAGCUCGUGUGCACUCUCUUGCUCCCUAAAUAAAUAAAUAAAUAAAUAAAUAAAUAAAUAAAUAACAUUUAAAAAACUUUAAAAAAAAAAGGAGAUGAAUAGGUUUAAUGCAUCUCAUGUUGGACAGGGGCAGUGCUCGGCCAUUUCUGUAGUGUUGGAUAUUUGUGGUCUCAACUUCCUGUGGGAGAGGACUCCCUUUUGUGCUUAGCAUCUACCAUGGGAGGGCUGGGACCUGCCAUCUGUGCACGAACUUCAAAGAUGUGUUUUGGUUUACAUUCUGUUACAAUGAACUCAAUGCAAAUUGUUUUUAUGUUGUUUUUAAAAUGUGUUAUUUUACUUGUUUUUGGAAGGGGGACAUUAAGGGCAGUGAAGUGGUAUUGGCCAUGGUUUAAUAUGGUGUUGGCCUGACUGGAAAAAAAAAAAAAGAAGAAGAAAAGAAGAUCAACAGUUAUUAGUUUUGAUUCAUUGUUUUCUGUGGGAAUCUAGUUUUUACUAGUUUUUUUUACUAGUUUUCAAAUUCUAUUUGGAUCCACAUUUUUCUUGGUAGGGGAAAAUGCUAAAUUUCCAUUUAGAUAGAUGCACUUUAACAGUGGCAACUUGCCAUAUGCUCCUCCUUUCUUCCCUUAUUUUUUUUCAAAAUAGCACAAACCCUUCCUCAAGCUUCAGGCUGAGCUGAACUUUAUUGAAUGGUCCUUCAAAGGUCAACUGGAAGGCACUAUUUCUCACGGACGAGAAGGCUCUCAAUCAGAGCUUGGAGUGAACCGGAAGAGACAUGACAGUGAAUUGAAUUGCAUUUCUACUGAUUUUGCUUAAGAGAAGUCAAGCUUAAGAGAGGUGUUGUCAACUGCCCGUGCUCACCGGUUCCCAAGCUAGACCUCAGCCCGAGCUCAGGAAAACCAGACGAGGCUCUUACAUUUGACUUCAUUGCCUCUUCAGAUGCUUGGCAAUAGCUUCUCCAAGAUGCAAGUUGGCAUGGCAAACACUAGCCAUGCUGAUCAGAUAACAUGUAUCGUACAUUGUGUUACUGGCAAGGGAAUUUCAAAAGUAAUUGAUGUUGGAGAAUUGGAGAUUUUAUUUAGUGGUUAAUUAAGUUUAUUUUUAUAGCAGGAGUCUCCAGAGAAAAUUGCUAGUUUGUUAAGGGUAUUUACUGUGAUAAAUAAGAAGAUAGAAUGAAAGUCCGUAAGAAUUGUCAAGGUUUCUGAUACUUAGAAUUUUUUUCUGUUAGAAUUAUAAUUAUUAGAAGGGUGUACAUUAUAAUCAGAGGAAUUAUACAAAUCACCUUCUGGCAGUUAGAAUUGAGGAAGGAAAAUCUCUAAUAAUUUAGACCAGAGUUUAUUAACCUCGGCACUAUUAACAGUUUGGAGCAGACAAUUCCUUGUUAUGGGGGGGGCUCACCUAUGAUUGCAAGGUAUUUAGCAGCAUUCCUGGCCCCUGCCUCAUAGAUGCGAGUAACACCCCCCCCAGUGGUAAUAACCAAAAUUGUCUCCAGACCUUGCCAAAUGCCCCUUGGGGGUGGGUGAGACUACCCCACUUGAGAAUCACUAAUUUAGGCAAGGAUGGAUGUUUAAAAUGUAAGGGUCUAGUUCAUUUCCAAAAAGAAAGAGAAAGAGAAUAGGAGAGGGAGACAGGUAAUAUUCUUUUGACUAUAGAUGUAACACCUUAUAAAACAUCGAAGCAUAUUAUUUAAAUGAUACCAGAUUACCUCAAGGUCCAUCUCUGCAUGUUGUCGCCGUCAAGAACGUCACAAGCCUGACCUCCCAAAAUCAUUUAAAAAAAGGUGGCUUGUCACCGAAGUCCCCCUAAGAGAUGGAGGGACAGCAGAUGCAGGUCAUGGCUGAGACUUUGUUAAAGCUCUCUUUGACCACAUAUCAGUUCCUCUUAUCGGAGCAGGUGCUCUCUCACAAUUUCUCUUCUUCUCUCUCAAACUCAACCGCAAACCCCAGCUCUUGCAGGCUUUCCCAUCUCUUUUUUGCUGCCCUCACUGUAGUAGCCACCGACCCAGUCCUUCCCCAUGGGGUUCUCUACCUUUCUGGUCUAGACCCGCACAACCUCUUACCACGUGGCUGCCUUACCUCUUGCCUCGAUCCGCACUGCAAAAGGCCUGGAGCCCAAGCAAAUACUUAAUCUUCUGUGGAAUGUUCUGAGGCGAGGGAAGGUUUUAAAGUUUUAUACAAGACUGUUUUUGUCCCAGUCAUACUAGGAAGAAGAAAAUAAGCAGCCAUUCCAGUACUCACAAACAAAUCUGGCGGAUGUCUAGGUAGGCGAUUUUGACAGCUGGAGCUAUAAGAAGGAGAGAAUCAAGGGGGAAAAUAUAUAGUUUGCGUUCCCCAGUCAUGGAGGGAAACUAAGAUGACUUGACCUUUUCUUCCACAUCCUUUAUUGAAUUACGAGGCUGACUUCAGGAUGUUUCAGGUUUUUUUUUAACUUUACUUUUAUUUAUUUGAGAGAGAGAGAGAGAGAGAGAGAGCACGAGCAAACAGGGGAGGGUCAGAGAGAGAGGGAGAGAAAGAAUCCAAGGAGGUGGAGCUCGAACCCAUGAACUGUGAGAUCAUGACCUGAGGCGAAAUCAAGAGUCGGACACAACCGACUGAGCCACCCAGGCGCCCCAGGAUGCAUCAGUCUUAGAUGGGACUGUCAUCAUCAUGGUUGUCAUCCUCCUCCUCAUUUAUGAAGUACUUACUAUGUGCCACAGUGCAAGCAUUUGGAAGAAUGUAAUACUUAACUUUCAUUACAAUUAUUAACGUGGUACUAUUAGUAUGUCCAACUGACCGGGGAGGAAAUGAGUCUCAUAGUGGUUAUGCCAGCUACCCAGGACCACAUAGCUCUAAAGUUUUGACUUGUAAGUGCAAGAAAAAUUCCUGAGCUCAAGAAUCUCUAGCUCCACUUCUUCCUUUGCCGUGUGUCUGUCUUUGAACCCAGGCUAGGUCAGGUGGCCAGGUGCCUUUGCCACCUGACUUCCAACAAAGGUCUGUGGACGGCUGGAGGAGGGCUGGUCAGGUGGGCAGUGGGAGGCACUUUGCCCAUGAUUUCAAUCGUAAGAACACAGCCAAAUAUUCUUCCCUCUGCAUACUAGCCAUGCCUGUUCUAGUUUCGUUGGAAGCGUCUUGUGAUCCUGUUACUCAAAAUUGACUCCACACGCCUACAGCAUCAAUGUAGCACCUGGAAGCUUGUGAGAAAUGCAGCAUCUUGGACCACACUCCGGACCUACCGAAUAGUAUCCCAGGUGAUUUGAACACAGUGUCCUCGGGAUGUUGGCAUGUGGUCCCAGUACAAAAUUUCCAUGGUCCCGUGGUUCCUCAAACUUGUGUCAACAUCAAAUUCACUUGGAGGGCUUGAGAAAACACACAUUGCUGAGCCUCUCCUUGCCCUAGGGUUUUGGGUUUGGUAGAUGUGGGGUGGGGCCCAAGAAUCUGCAUUUCUGAUAAGUUCCCAGGGGGGCUGGGGAGCACAGUUCGUGAGCCACUGUUACAGUCAAAUAAAUACACUGAGAAGCUGCUAAAAGUUAAACCAAAUGAAACCACUGGUUUUCUAACAGGUCUCAGAGCUGUUACUGGGCUAAGACUUGGGUUCCCAAACCCCUGGCCCAUUAAAACCACUUGGGGGCGGGGAGGCACGGGGAAGAUAGUGUUCCACAAAAUGCACUUUGGGAACCACCACUGCUCUGCAAACAAUAAAGUCUACCAAUUAUGACAAAAAAAACCCACAAAAGCUGAACGGAGUAAAAUGACCACGACCGCUUCGGUUGAGCAAAGGGUAGCCUUGACUUUGGUAGUGUCAGCACAGCUGUUGUGUCUUGGAGCAAAUGAGAAGCACAUUUCUCUAAGGGAUUUCUACAGACUGAAAAUAAAUUAUAAAUUAUUGAGAUUCACAUAACAUAGACCGGGAAUUAAAAAGAGACUAAAAAAAAAAUCCUCAACGACAUUUGAAUUGCUGCUUCAUUCCCCCUCUUCCCCCCCCAUUGAAAUACAAGCCAAGAAUAAAACAUUGAUUAAAUAGAGAGCAUUGACAUUUUACUCCUGUGGUGCUGGAUACCAGCCUAGACAAAGAGCCGGUUAAACUCGAAAGACAAAGAGCCCUUUUGUUAGGCAGUAAGUUCAUCUGGGAGAAAUAUUAAGUGAACUCUCAAAGGAGAGAGUUCUUCAACAUCUUUACCUACAACAUUCAUUGAGAAGCAACAGGUAAAAUCACACUCAAAAUAUAUGGGGGAUAAAGGGAUUUAUUAAAGGAUGGAAUUGGGAUACACAUAAAACACAACUUUGGCCUCCAGUGAUGGAAAUUUAUACUAGGAAAUGAAAACCAAAAUGAACAAUGAGAUAUGAGCAAGAAGAUAUAUUCUUCUGAGCAAACAAAACGUAAAAUGUCAAUCUGGUCAUAUUCUCUCUAGGGAGGAGAUAUAGCCGUGGACAAAAUAGGCAUUUUUCUGUCAAAGAUCUAACUGUAAUAAGGAGCACAGGUUUAAAAAUAAUAAACAGUAGAUCAAAUAAGAUUCACGUUUGAAGAUAGACAAGGAGAGGAGACAAAGUAAGAGGGAUUGGAUAGAUUUGCUUUUGAAACUGUGCUCAGGGAAAGCUUUUCUGAUGAUUUAUUUGGGCUAAGAAGAAAGAGAAUAGAAGAAAUGACCCACAUAAAUGUUUGGGUAAAGAGCGUUCUAGAAAUCCAGAAUAUGGUGUGAAAAGGACAAUAAUCAGAAAAAGAAACAAGUAUUUAUGGAACUGAAAGGACAUGACAUUAAAUGGACACUAGCUUCACACAAGUGAUCAUGGUGAGUCACCUGUGAGUGUGUGCCUGCAUAUGCAGUAGGAUGGUGUUCAAGAUCAAGUUAGACCUCGGUCUCUUGAUUUUGACCAUGUCACUUCCUGUGAUUCCUUCACUCAGCCCUCAGCUGUUACGGGUUGGUUUCUGCCAUGUGAAUACACAACAAAUACAUCAUGUGACUACGUCCAGUUCUACAUGUAGAGUCACGUGUAGUAUUAGUAACUGUUAUUCUUUCUAAAGGAUUCUUUUAUAUCCCCAGCCUGUGGUUAAGAGCUAGUCCUUAACAAUGGUGCUAAGUUCAAUUUUGGACAAACAAAGGCAACAAUUUAAAGUUGCUCCGUGCUUACAAAUCCUUCAGGAAGCUCACAUCUCUUUAAAGUAGUGCUACAGUGAGAGAUGAAAUAUUAAGGCAUGCGUAGUCGAUGAUGGCCCCAAUUCAUUCUCCUUGUUGCAUAUUAUUGUAAAAGACUUUCAGAUGAACAGAGGUAGUAGGUAGAUCUUACGUAUAAGGAAAUGAUCGGUUGCGGCAUUCAAUAAGUUACAGAUAAAGAUUUCUUAACCCAAGACUUACAAAGAUGAGCAUGAAAGGGAUAUGAAUGUAUCUGGAAAUGAUUUUGUUGGAAGAGCAUUUUAGAAAGUGAACAUGCAGAAGAUUACUAUUGCAUUAUUUAAUAUAAUUAAAAUGAAAAUAAGAACACUCAGAAAAAUCCCAAAAGGUUGGAGUUAAUUAUCAAAUUGUCGUACUCAAGUAUCGAAGGGGAUUUGUUCCAGAAAGACAGAAGGCUGGCUGGCAAGUGAAUUCAAUGAAAGUAGCACAGCUCAGACUUGGGGAAAGAAAGCAUUUCUCUUCCCUCCUGUGAUUCCCAGUCCUAUGAACCCGAGAAUGUGCCUUCUAAGUUCAGAUCCUUGCAAUAGUAACUCUCCCACUGUCAGAGAGGAGCACAGGCCACGUGAUUGCUUCAUCACUCAGAAGCCUCAAAUACUAGGUUUUCCCUGGGCUUUCAAUUGGCAUCAAGUUAUUCAAGGCGGGCUGGAAACCUUCGAAGAAGAGGCAAAAGUCUGCUUUUCCUUUCCUUUCUGAGAGAUGGUCUGAUUGCAUAAUCAUACCCCAGCCGAAUCUGGCUUGUGUUGUUGGAGGAAUUAUCUCCUCAUUAAAAACAAAUCUUAAUAGGCCUAAUUUGAAGGCGGCUUUUGUCUGUAACUUGAUCAAGAGGGUAAUGACUGUGAGCCAUGCUAAACAGAGAGAGAGGAAAAGAAAGUCAGAAACAUUAAACAGUGCAGAUUACAGUCACAUUAGAGUGCUUUUGAUAUGCAAAUGAUGCACACAAGGCAAAACAUAAAAAAUAUAAAUGGACUUAUUUCUAUUUCAUUUCUUGAUACUCUCCUCAGGGCAUGCGGGAAAAGCCAAGUCUUUAAGAAAUGAUUCAGUUUGAGAGACAUUUAAUUGUUAUUUUCAGGGUCUUAGUGACCUCGGUUGUAAAAUGGGAAUACUAAUGUCUAUAAUUAUUAUAAUAGGGCGGUUACAAGGAUUAAAUGAAUUAAUAAAUGUGAAGCAUUUAGAACAGUGUCUGGCUUUCUAAUCCAUCCAACACAUAAUGAUAGCACUAUAAGGUUUAGCUAUUAUUAUUGUUGUUAUUGCUAUUACUAUUAGCAUUUUCCCCCUAUUCUAUAUGAACUAGAAUACCAGUCAUAGAUACACAGAAUUUUGGAACCGGAAAAACCUUAGGGUAGAGUUUCCAGAACUGUAGCCCAUGAAGAUCCACUGUUACCUAACAGGUUUUUUCUGAUCAGUGACUUUUCGGGGGAAUUUUAGGUUAGAUAAAAUCAAGACCAUUUCACCACAGAGGCUCUUGAGACCCUUUAAGGUGUCGGCAAUGUGAAUCUCAAAGAGCACGAUGUUCUAUUCAGUCUUCCCUAAAUGUAUUUGACCUCAAACCCAUUUCUCACAGAAUGUCUUAUGACCCCCUGAGAAACAUUAAUUCUUGAAGAAAAUUAUGAAUGGCAAUUCAAUGAUGCCCACAGGGAAAAUGACUUCUCCUAAGCCCUCAGCUAGUUAGGGGCAGAGUCUGGGCUUAAGCCUGGGUCUCCUGGUACAUUCUCCAGGAUGCUUUGCAUUCAUGCUCACAGCCUCUUCUGUCCCGCAUUUCUGCAGGAAAAGGUCUCACAGGAGCUCUUUGAAGAGCAAAGCAUGCUGGUUAAAAACCAGGACCUGGUUUAAGCGCCCACUUCCCACUGUAUGACCUCACACGAGUUGCGUGAUUUUCCAAAGACUCAUUUUUUCCCUCCUCUUAAAAUGGGGAUAAUGAUUGCACCUGCCUUGCAAGGUUGCUGAGAAUUUAAGUGACAUAAUGCAUGUAAAGUACAUACAUUAAUUAUAAACAAUUUAUCAUUGUUUCUGGACAUAGUAAGAGUUCAAAAUAUGUUGCCAAUUAUUAGUAAAUAGUAUUUUAAAAGUGGGGGACAGAUCCCAUAGAGGGAAGGGAGAUCUGAUGACCAGACUUUUAUUUAAGAGUUUUUCAAUAGAAGCUCCUCUAUAAUGCUCUUCUGUAAGCGAUGCUAAGAAGCUCUCUAUACCAUUGAACCAGACCCGAAACAAAUCAUCAUCUCCCCCUUUAUAUCGGAUGGCGAAGAGAAAGGACUGUUAAGCAUCAAUGGCAAGGGUAGGAGAUUCUGGCCUAGAUUUGGGAUCUUCCAUUCUACUGCAGGAAUUUCUCACACAGGAAACAUCCUUAGGGCCCCCAGGCCAACGCUACUCAGUAAGGCCAGGAGUGCUAUCGUCGGUUUCCUGUAACCGGUCCACAAUGAGGUAAGUACAGACAUUGUGGGUCAGCAUUCAGAAACUUUUAUAACAAUUCGCAGAGGAAUUCUGUGUGUAUGCAGACGUGGAAUCUAAGUGACAGUUUUUAAAACAGGACUUGUAGGGGCGCCUGGGUGGUGCAGUCGGUUAAGCGUCCGACUUCAGCCAGGUCAUGAUCUUGCGGUCCGUGAGUUCGAGCCCCGCGUCAGGCUCUGGGCUGAUGGCUCAGAGACUGGAACCUGUUUCUGAUUCUGUGUCUCCCUCUCUCUCUGCCCUUCCCCCUUUCAUGCUCUCUCUCUGUCCCAAAAAUAAAUAAACGUUGAAAAAAAAUUUUUUUAAUUAAAAAAAAAAACCAGGACUUGUAUUUGUAAACCUUUUUAAUAUUUCAUUUUCUAGUAAUUCAUUUUUAUUGUAUUUUACAAAAGCAUCAGUCCAGGACAGAUUAAACAUUUAAAAAAAAAAAUAAAACUCGCCCACUACCUUAGAUAGUUGGAGAAACUGAAUCUCAGAAGUGUGGAAUCAGAAUCAGAAUUAUCAGCAUCACAUAGGAACUUUUUAGAAAUGCAGUUCUCAGUCCCAUCCCAGACCUACUGCAUUAGAAAUUCUGGGGUAGGGCCCAGGAAUCUUUAUUUUAAGAAGCAGUUUGGGUGAUUACUAUGCACACGAAGUUUUAGAAUGCAUACAUAGAUAUACAUACAUAUACAUACAUAAAUCCACAUAUGUAUAUAUAUACAUACACACACACACACACACAUACAUAUAUGUAUAUGAGAGAAAGAGAGAGGGAGAGACACAGAUCCUAAACUCUGGUGUGCAAAGAUAAUAUGACAUUAUUUCUCUAUAACCAAAUUAAAUUAUACUCCUAACCACCACUCAUUCAGGUUGGAAGUAAUUUCGAUGUCAGUUAGGAUUAGGUUCAGUUAUGAAUCAUGGAGACCCCCAAAAACGGUGGCCUCAUUAAUAGAGAGACUUUCAGGAAAAAAGCCAAGUUGCAAGUUUCUUUGAGGUGAAUUCUGUCUUCUGCUCUACUAUCCAAAUUCUCUGAAACAAGAGGACACAGAGGCCUGCCUACCUUUUUUAAUAGAGCAGGAAAAACUCCGGGAGGAACCAAAACAAGACUCCAGUAUACUAUUCUGCUGUAUCAACAAUGAUAUUUAAUCAUCCGCUGUGGUGAUCUUGGAGCCAAACCAAUGCCCAGAAGGUUUGGGGCCCACUCUGAGUAACUUGGAGUUCUUUAUGCAUCAGAUAGAGUUUUCCCCUUUCAACCAUUGUCAGCCCCGGUCAUUAAAACCCCCUGCAUCGGUUUUAGAAGCCAAAUGAUUUCUUUCACGUCCUUAUCGGUCUGUCUAGGAUUCUCUCGCUUGUUAUAGAUUUUUAUUUUCUUGAUGCAUUUCUUUGUAACUGGAACCCUCAAGCAAAAAAAAGGUGGGUGAAAGCACAUUUUAUGAAUUCAUGCUCAGGCCUCUGAUACUAAAGUCAAUUUCUAACUGAAAAAUUAGUCUCCAGGGGCCAGUAAUUGAGACUUCGAGAUUAAUGCUUUGUGCAAAAUUUAGUGCCUUUCCAGUCUACCCUGUUUUUGAUGGUCCCUUUUUUUUUCAUUCUUUCUAUUUUGUAGCUUAAGGGGUUCCCAUUGGUCUGGGCUGCUAGCGAUAAUGCUUACAUAGUAAUAUUUUUGAAAAUGCAGGUGAAAACAUUGGCAACUUUGAAAUGAAUUGUCAUACAUUGCCCAAUGUCUACUACUGUCUCUCAUGAGUUAUGUAACUUUUUUAGUGUAUUAGAUAAUUAUGUGUUUGUCAUAUAUCCAUUUAGUUGUAAGGUUUUUAAAAAGCUAUGUUCAGAAGACCAUUUCAUUUAUUCCUGUUUCUUUCCCCGUGUGACCUCUGUUCCAUUAUAUGAGUCUCCACCUUUUGUUUCAGAAUAAAAAAAAAAUCCCCAUCGGGGCGCCUGGGUGGCGCAGUCGGUUAAGCGUCCGACUUCAGCCAGGUCACGAUCUCGCGGUCCGUGAGUUCGAGCCCCGCGUCAGGCUCUGGGCUGAUGGCUCGGAGCCUGGAGCCUGUUUCCGAUUCUGCGUCUCCCUCUCUCUCUGCCCCUCCCCCGUUCAUGCUCUGUCUCUCUCUGUCCCAAAAAUAAAUAAACGCUGAAAAAAAAAAAAAAAUCCCCAGAAAAUGUAGACUUUCCUCCUAUCCCUGUUUACUUCUCCGCCAAAGAGUUCAAAAAAAAAAUUGGAAAAAUGGGAAUCCUAGCAAAUUAAAUAGUAUAUUACUUACACUAAUUUUUUAGGAAUAACUCGUACAAUUUGGAUAUCAAUCUCAUUCUUCGUUUCCAUGUACUUCCAUGCUCUAAUAUAACUUUUCCCUCAUUUUUCUUGCUUAGCUUUAAAGAAGAAUGAAAUUACUUGCAAUUUCACUCAGAGACAUCCGCUGUUGAAUAUUUUGUUUCACUUCCUUCUAAUCUCAAAGAAAGCUUUCGUUUUAGAAACGCUACCUUUAUUUUUUAACGUGUAUAUGUAUUUUGCUUCUAUCCAAAUGAAUUAUUUUUUCCCAUUUAUAAAAGCAAUACAUAUUAUUGCCAUAAAAUUAAACCCAAUAAGGUGCAUAAAGAAAAAAAUUGGUUGUGUUUUCUUACCAAAUCUUUAGACGCAUUUGCCCAAAAUUUCAGGCAAAUCUCUGUGGCUCUGGCAACCAUUGGUUGGCUGUUAUUGAAACUUUUCUGCCAAAUUACAGGGAAGGUGGAUAAUCCUCUGGGCCCCCAGGUCAAUUUGAAUGGACCCUUUGUUAGUUUCAAGAUAUUUAAAAUACAUGUUGUUUUGGAACAUCUUUUCUGAGUAGUAGGGUCAAAACUUACUUCCCUGUCUUUCCUAGAGCAAACUAGAACAGGGCGGUCUAGCUAAUUGAGUGUGAUAUUUAAAUUUUUCUAAUGUUUAUUUAUUUCUGAGAAAGAGAGAGACAGAGACAGAGACAGAGACAGAGUGUGAGAAGCGGAGGGGCAGAGAGAGGGAGACACAGAAUCUGAAAGCAGGCUCCAGGCUCUGACCUGUCAGCACAGAGCCCGAUGUGGGGCUCGAACCCAUGAGCCAUGAGAUCAUGACUUGAGCUGAAGUCAGAUGCCUAACUGACUGAACCAGCUAGGCACCCCUUAUGAGACUGAUUUACUGAGUACACUGAUUCAUUUAUUCAACAUUUAUUGAACAUCUAAACUGUGCCAGGCAUGGUAAAGGCAUUCGGGAGCAAGACACGGAACUUACAUUCUAAUGAAAUGAAAACUUUUUAUUACCUUUUUUGGCCCUGCCCAUUUGCUUGGCAUGUAGUAAGCACUCAAUAAAUUUCUUUUGUCACACUGCCUUGAAGUGACUUGUGUAGAGUAUUCUGGCAUCAGCUGACCCAGCUGAGACGCGGAGUGUGGCCAUGGUUCUCCCUGAAAUAACGAGAACAUUUGUUCCGCCCCGGUUCACUUCCUGCUCAAGGUCUAUUAAAAACAAACUCACCGUCAAGAUUAGUUCUCAACUGGGUAUGUUUCCAGGGGCAGGGGUAGAUAGCCAGCAGACGCAUCAUACAUGGAAACUCAUCUCAUCCCUUAAAUCUGACCUCCGAAUGUCUUUUAGAUCUGCCGAUUAGAUUCUUGCUAGAACACAAUAUCAGACUCCAUCCUCAAAGGAAAUAAAUUAAGCUGCGCCACACGAGGACAAAUGGUUGACAUUCUGCUCUGGCUAGCAUCUUGUGUGCAGCUGUGAACAGCUGUGUGAGUGCCAGUUAAGCUGUGAUGCUAUCACUGGGGAGAGAGAUAAAGGGCAAUUCAUUCACAAAGCACUAUUCAAAGGGCCUCACAGGUGUGUUCUAAGGAUUGGUUUUCUGCUAUCCCCUUUCCAUCUGAAAUUUAUCCUGAGAUAAGGUGAUAGAACAUAAUAUAGAAUUAUAGGCCUUCUCCCUCCGGGAAUGGUGUUUUAGGAAUACAUGCUGUGACAUUCAUAAGCAAACAUGAAAUAGGGAAACGCACUCUCCACUUGACAAAGAGGAUUAGCUUCUGACUCUCUGGAGCGAUUCUUGGACCAUUUAUUCAUUCCCUUAUGAAUAAGCCUCAGUGCCCCCCCCCCCCCCCCCCCCCCCCCCCCCCCGCCCCCGCGGCNCACCGCCCCCGGCGGCACCGCCGGUAGAGAAAGCACAAAUGUGGCAAAGAGAGUGGCCCUUUUAGAGAACAGCUUUAUUUAUCACCCAUAUUUGCAAUUCCACUCCCCUAAAAGAAGCCGUCAGCUGCUCAUCCUUUGACUACAGUCGAGGCCUUUGGUGAACAAGGAUGGGGGCAGAUGCUAACUGCCAAUGAGGGGGACAAAAUGAGGUGAGGAGAGGGCAUUUUGUAAAGAGAUUGAAAUGGCCUGUGGAUGCUUGUUUGAAAUAGACUGCACAUUGCUGCUUGAAGGGAAAAUGGUAUGUAUCAGCGACCCUCUUGAGAAAUGCAGUUAGAAGGUAAAACAGGAAAAUUAACACUGGGUACAAAUCCUAGGUCAGUGUUCCUAAAUGCUGGCCGGGGACAUGGGCCACCUUCGUGGACUCGGUUGCCUAGUAACCUUGUUAAAGCUGCAGCUUUCCUGGUUUCACUCAUGACUGCAGAAUCGCCAAAGGACUACCUGAGUUUUUGCAACCAGCUCCCCGAGAUGAGCCGAGGGUACAUGGCCCUGUUGGGGAGUGACUGGUAGAUCCCAGGCUAAACAAAUAAACAAACCAGCAAACAAAAAUAAAGCAGAUGGGGAGGGGGAAAUCACAAACCAAGCCAGAAAAAUGAGACAGCAGGGCUUCCUGCCCUGCUUUGUGGUCAUAAACCAAUAAGUAAUAGUUUGCAAUCAAUAAAUAGCAAUUAAUUGAAGGCUUACACUAUAUCCAGGACUGAUCUAUUGCCUUAAAUCUUUUCAUCUUUAAAUUGCAAGGAAAUUUAUGAGUGAGGUAGGAUCCAUGAAGCCCCGGGUACAUGAGACACAAGCAUUUUAAGGCGCUCAGGGAAGACCACACCACUGGAAGCUGCCAGGACCAGGCUUCAAACUCAGCAAGUCUGGCUCCAGAGGCGGUGGUUAAACUUUGACCAGUUACUGUCUUUCCUGUGCAAACGGCAGGGCUUGGGGAAAUGAAGUUGAAUAAGGCAGUGUUGUCCCUCAAGGAGCUCAUGGAAAUUUGUAACGUCACGUAGCAAGUGCAGUGUGUAAAGCACAAAGAGAGACUCGGCGGUCUUCGCAGGAUUACAGAUUAUAGAUGACCCAGUUUGGGGAGCGGGCUCUCUGGACCUGAGCAGAAAUUUGAAAGGAUGAGCAAGAGUGAGCCACAAAAAGACUGGAGGGAGGGAGGGUUCUCCCGGGGGAGGACACAGAAGGAGCCAAGCCCCAGAGAAAAGAUAUAGGGGUUCCAGGCUUCUCCCAGGGUGUUUUUCCAGAAGAAGGGUGAAUGGAUACAAGGUGGCAAGAAUGAGAACUCUGUUUGAUCAUGGAAAAUAAUUUCUAAUGAUCACUAUUUGAGAUUAACGUUAAUAAUUGUCACAAUCGUUUUUAGUAACUGACAUGAAUGACAGUUGUGGUGUUUCAUAACCUAUUGCUGUGUUGUCCUGAAAUUAUCCUAAAGCUUAGCUGCUUGAGAAAACAACCCCUCUACUGUGCUGUUGGGAGUCUAUGGUUCAGGAAUUUUGAGAGGACAUAAGCGGGAUGGCUUGAGUCUGCUUUCUAAAUCAAAAAAAGAUUAAUGUUUAUUUAUUUUUGAAAGAGAGAGAGAGAGAGAGAGAGAGGGAGGGAGCGCGCAAGCAGGGGAGGGGCAGCAAGAGGGAGACACAGAACCCAAAGCAGGCUCCGGAUCUGAGCUGUCAGCCCGGAGCAUGAUGUGAGGCUCGAACCCAUGAACUACAAGAUCAUGACCUGAACCGAAGUCGGAGGCUUAACCGACUGAGUCACCCAGAUGCCCCAAGUCUGCUUUCUGAUGUCCAAGGCCUUCACCUGGGGCUGGAAAUUCUUCUUCCAAGAAGGAUGGUCUACCAUCUUGGUGGGGUGAUUGGAAGGCUGGACUUAAAUGGGACUGUCGGCCAGAGCAUCGCCAUGUGCCCUCCUCAGCAUGGUGACCUUAGGAAAGUGGGGCUUCUUCUAAGGUGAGUCACAGUCCCAGGGAGUAAGAUGGAGGGUGAUACUUUCUGACCUAGCUUUGGAAUGACACCAAGUGUUACCCUACUAUAUUCUAUGAAUGAAAGCAGUCACAAGCACAUCCAGAUUCAAGAGGAAACAUAACCUGAGGCGUGUCAAAGAAUUUGGAGCCAAGUUUUAAAAUCACCUUAUGGUUAACAUUUACUGAGUGCUUUCUAAUGUGCCAGGCACUGUGCUAAAUGCUUUAGCAAGGAUAUCUCAUCUAAAGUUCAUCAUAGUACGGGGCACCUGGGUGGCUUAAUUGGUUGAGUGUCCAACUUUGGCUCAGAUCAUGAUUUCACAGCCUGUGGGUUCGAGCCCCAUGUCAGGCCCUGUUGCUGGCAGCUUGGAGCCUGGAGCCUCCUUGGGAUUCUAUGUCUCCCUCUCUCUCUGCCCCUCCCCAACUCACGCCCUGUCUGUCUCUCUCUCUCUCUCUCAAAAAUAAAUAAAUAAAUAAAUAAACAUAGGGCACCUGGGUGGCUUAGACCCAGCUUCAGCUCGGGUCAUGAUCUCACGGUCUGUGAGUUCAAGCUCUGCACUGGACUCCGCUGCUGACAGCUCGGAGCCUGGAGCCUGCUUUGGAUUCUUGUGUCUGCUUCUCUCUCUGCCCCUCCCCAACUCACAUUCUCUCUCUCUCAAAAAUAAAUAAACAUUAAAAAAAUUCAAAUAAUUAGACAUUAAAAAAAUAACAAAGUUCAUCAUAAUGGUAUGAAAUAUGUGCUCUGAUUAUGCCAGUUACAGAUAGGGGAUCACAGCCUUAGGGAGGAUGUUUAACUUGUCCAAGGUCACCAGGAAGUGGCCAUAUAUAUGAGAAAAUGAACUCAACUUCGUAGGGUUUAAAAGCAUUAAGCCUAAGCCGUAUCACCUUGGUAUUCUUCUUCGUAACUCAGCCCCAACUCUUGGCCCAACAUGCAUGGAAGGCUCACUGUUAAUGUUUGUGGGAGGGAAGAAAGUCUUAGCAACUAUACAUCUAAGGGGACUCAAACAGGGACUCUCUGGGGGCAACAUCAUGGUUGGCGACUUCUGUGCUCUCUGUUGCCCUUGUCAGAAGUGGACCCCUGAAGAAGCAAUGGCUGUGUGGACUGUGGGCCUGCUAUUUACAUUUCUCAUGUAAAUGUUCACACAAUUCUCUCCCUGGAAGCCUCAUCCCCAGAGGCCUUGGGCCUGAAUCCUGAAAUCAAAGAAACAGGACAAAUAUACUUUGGAAAAUGCUUCUGAAUUGAAGUUCUCUCAGAUCCAGGAAAAGUGUUACACACUGGCAGUAUUCAUUCCCAGGAAUAUGAAAAAAUACCUUUGACUACUUUUUUACAACUUAUACAUAUUGGAAGAGUAAUCUAUGGUAUUUAAACUCAAUUUUGUUUCAUGUACCCACUCGAUAUAUAUCGAACAAUACAUAUUGAAUACCUAUUAUGUGCCAGACAUGAUGCAGGAUUAUGAAGAUCCUAUGGGCAAGCAAGACAGAGAUGAUUUCUUCCCUCCUAGAGCUCGCAGUCUAGUGAAGGAGACGCAGAGAAACUAAGUACAGAACUAUAGCAGUAUAUAAUUGCUAAUUCUCAAAAGUGCCUUGAGGGAAAUUAAUACGGUGAUAAGAUAAAAAUAAGACAAGAGUAAGGUGGGAAAUCUGUAUGUAUGCUGGUUGAAUUAGGCCCCUCUGGAGACAUGAUAUUACUUAAUCAGAGAGCCAAAGUGAGAGAAGAAAAGAAAGGCUAUGAUCCUGUUUAUUUUUAUUCUGUUCUUUAGUCCCAACCUCCUUUCCUUUGAGUUCAGACCCUGUUCCAAAGGGAAUUCAGCUAAAAGAAUGUUGAUGGACGAAGAAACUAACUGGUCCUUAUUCCAGUAUCGAGUUCAUGCACACAGAUUCUUAAUAGGCAAGUGUAAAACCUGACAUUUAAGGGAUGACCUUAUUCCCCAGCUGCAUAGAAAUCUGAGCCCACCUCUAGCUAACAGUCUCAAAGUGUCGGUCCCUAGUGUGUUCACCAAGCCCCUGAGUCCUCACCCUGGUGGGCCAUUCUUCCUGCCUUCCACGGGCACCUUCAAACGACAAGAGAGUGCUGAGUGUUCAGGCUAGAAGAUAUGCUCCCCAAAAGCUUCAGGGAUUUUCCUUUCCAAGAUCAAACCAUAUUUAUCAAUACUGAGGGAUUGACAUUUAAGGAAACUUGGCCUUGGGGGUGGUGUUGCGAUGGGGAAUCCUACUAAUAAUUACCCCUUAAUAUAGUUAUUUAAAGUUAGGUAUUCACUGAUCUGGUAAAGGAGUCUCUAAUAUUUGAGACCCAACACCUAUGGCAGUUGCAAUAGGUGACACAGGGAUUCAGUGAGUUCGAGCCCUGCAUCAGGCUCUGUGCUGACAGCUCAGAGCCUGGAGCCUGCUUCAGAUUCCCUGUCUCUGUCUCACUCUCUAUCCCUCCCCCGCUCAUGCUCUGUCUCUCUCUCUCAAACUGUGAGAUCAUGACCUGAGCCAAAGUCGGAUGCUUAACCAACUGAGCCACCCAGGUGUUCCAAGAGCAGCUAAUAACCUAAUUCACACUCACUAAUCUCACUUAAUUCUUAUAACCACCCUAAUUAUUGUAUGACAUUCGAUAGGUGAAGAAGCAAUUGUAUAGGAAGUAAGACCUAUGUGGUUCACUAGAAUAGCCACCAGAUAUAUGUGGCUGUUUAAUUUAAAUUAUUUAAAAAUAAAUUAACACUCAGUGCCUCCGUCACACCAGCCACAUUUCAAGUAUUUAGUCGUACAUUUCCACCACUGUAGAAAGUUCUGUUGGAUAGCUCUGGAGACUAUAGGCCAGAGUUUCUCAACUUUGGCAAUAGUGACAUUUGGGGCCAGCUAAAUGCUGUGGGGAAGGGCUCUCUUGUACAUUAUGUUUAGCAGCCACUACCCACUGGUCACCAGUAGCACCCUCCCCUAGUUGCAGCAACCAAGAAGGUCUCCUGAGAGUGUCAAAUGUCCCCUUGAAGGGGAAAUAAAAUCAUCCAUGGUUGAGACAACUGUCCUAGACCCAGCCUAGGCUUUAUAGCCUAUGUGGGAACUUGGGUAAGUUGCUUUCAAUUCUUUCAGCUCAAUUUCCCUCAUUGGUAAAAUAUUUAAAAAACAGAACACAUUUCCAUAAGGUUUUUGUGAGUGUUAAAGGUAAAGCAUUGGUAGGUAAUAAAAGCACAUUAAAUGGUCUUUAGGAAGGUAAUCCACUAAUUCCCCCCCUUAACUGAGAGACAUCCAGAUUAGCUGAUAUGGGAUCUGGGAUCCUGGAAAUUCAACUUUCUGCUUGCUGCUCCAAAGUUCCAUCCAUGAACUUGGGCUUCCAUGUGUAGGUACCUCCAAGGCUGCCGACAAUGACAGAUAUGAGUGAUUUAUUUAGACAACAAAGUCUGGGGACUUGAAAACAAAAAACAAAAUGGGGCGCCCGGUGGCUCAGUUGGUUGAGCGUCUGACUCUGGGUUUCAGCUCAGGUCAUGAUCUCAGGGUCAUGGGAUUGAGCCCCGAGUCGGAUUCUACACUGAGUGUGGAGCCUGCUUAAGAUUCUCUCUCUCUCUCUCUCUCUGUCUCUCUCUUUCUGCCCUUUUCCCCUGCUCACACACUCUCUCUUUAUCCUCUCUCUCUAAAAACAAACAAACAAACAAAAUUCCAACCAAACAUAGAAAACCAUCUUUCAUUAUCUAGAGCCUGAAUUUUGUCAUGAUAGCUUUGAAAAUGUAUCGGACAGUGAGGCAAUCAAUUAAUGAGGAAGGUUUUUAAAGGUCUCUAUAAAAAUUGAAUCAAAUAUUUAGAUCAAUCACAGUGAAGAUGAUUAAAACACAUCAACGGACAGCUGCCAGUAAAUUAAUUGAAGUUUCAACUCAAAUGUCUAAAUAGGCACAUUCAGACAAUUGGCCCUAUCAGUGUAUCAGGUUUAGACUACCAUGUUAGUAGGAUGGAAAGAUAAUUAAAUGAAUUAUUUGAAGUUUGUGCUUAUUCUUGCCUUGAAAAAACCAAAUACAAGUGCUUUAAUGGGCUCACAGAGGAGACUUAUUUUUAUCCUUGAGAUUUUUUUUCCUGUGGUUUAUAGGAUUAAGCUGAGUGUAACUUUCUAAAUCUAAAACUGUCAUUAGAUUGGACAAUAUGAACCAAUAUUUGACCAUUUUUGACCCAUAAGAGAGGAAAUUCCAUAAGAUGUAAAACGAAUGCAUCGAAGAGAGGAGCAAACAUAGAGUAGUUCAUUUCUUCAAUUUAUGUUUCAAUAAUUGAUACCUGGUAGGUCAUCUCUCUAUCAGAAACAGAGAUCAGGUUCACCCAUUCACAUAAUAACCUAGCCAUUCGUCAUGCAUUUACAAUUGGGCCCCAGGCUAAGCAUUACCUCAUUAACCUCAUUUAAACUUAACAAAAACAAUGUGAAAAGGGUAUUAUUUAUUUCCAUUUUGAAGAUGGGAAGACAGGUUGACAAGGUUUGCUAACUUUUAGGUAAGAGGUAUAGCCAGAUUUCACAUUCAGGAGUGCAGAAUUUUAAAGCUUUUGUCCCCGGCCAUACUGUAGCUGCAGGUGAAUGGUGAAGAACAUACUCAUUCUCAGUGUUACAAAUCACGUCCUUAACUAGUACUCCUCCACAACACUUAACCUACUCACUGCAUCUGGACCACAUGGGACAUAGUAGGUAUCAUCUUUUAUGGUCUGACCCCUUUGGCCAUAUGAGUUCAUUAAAUCAGAUUAUGAAUGAGACUUCUUUCACACUUUUGUGAUGUAAAAUAUUUUCUUUUCAAGAUGCCAAUCGCCAAAAUCUUUUACAUUUUUUUUUUCUGGCUUCUUAUUCAUCAGAGAAAAAUUCUGACUGGCCAUUUUAAAAAAAGAAGUAGGUUCUUAACAAAUUAAUCCAUCCAGAAUACCACCGGGCCCAGGAUAAGAAAGAUACUGUCUCAAAGAAGGAACUCACUAAUUGAGAGUAACUGAAGGGAGAGACAAUUCUGAAUUAAUAAAAUGUCUUAAUUAAAAGCAUGAGUUAAAAGAAAGAAAGUCUUAAUAUCUUUUGAUAUCUGAUGGAUAAAUGAAUCAAUGAAGCUGGAGUGUGGAAAAUAUAAAACCCUGUGGUUUUAUGGAACCCUGUGGAAGUCUACUUAAGUCUAUUUUGAUGAACAAAUGAGGUCUAAGGAAAUGGAGUAUAGUUUUCCAGUUACUUGUAGGUCAAGGUGCUACUACGGUCUUGGGAAAAAAAGAAUUCUCAUAAGCUGAUAAACAUUCCCCUUGCAAUCCUUUCACACUGUACUACAUAUAAAUUGUAUGAUGUGUACUAUAUAUAUAUAUAUAUAUACACACACACACACAUAUAUCAAAUCUAUACUAUAUAUAUAAUCUGUAUACUAUCUAAUCUUAACUAUAUAUUAAUAUAUACGAAUACAAAUACUAAUACCAAAUUAUCCUAUAUACUGUAUAACCUAUCUGCCUCUCUAUUUAUAUAUAAUCUCACAAAGAUAAUGAACUCUUCAGACUCUAUUCAAAUAAUUAAAUUUUGAAUUGUUGGGGGUGGAAUUCAUGAAGUCUUUAUAAUUGAUGGAGUCAAACUUAAAAAAAAAAAAACACAACUAAAAAAGGACAACCAAGUAUGGUUUCUACUUGAACCGGUCACAUUAUGUUCCAUCAAAUUUAUUACUCAUCUCGUACCAAUCACACGUGAAAACCAACUCUGAUGUGAAGUGUUGGUAUUCAUUUCUGGUUUGGUAAAGCACUUAGUCCUACCUCCAAUAUCUGUCUAGAAGAAAAAGCCAUUUCACUGCUAUCCCACACUCAAGGAGGAGGGGGUGCACAAGGGUAUGGAUAGCAAAAAGGUCAUCUUAGAGGCUGCCCAGCACAGUGAAUUUCUUCUGUGCUAAUAUCUAUGUUCUGCGGAAUAUCUAGAUAUUGUCAUCUCUGCAAAGCAUGCCCUGAUAAUAUUAGAAAGAGAAAUAAAACAAGGAGUAGAAGUAUCUAAACCAUGUUUCAAUGCUUGUCCCUCACCACGGCCCCCGCAAUCUUUCUCCUAACUCUUAAAGAGAAUCAAUUCUGUUCUCAGAGUUGACAGCCCAGAGAGACGCACAUAUUGGUCAUGUCCACUGUGUGGCUUGAGAGGAGUCAGCGAGCGGGCUUCAGAGCAUUUUAAAAGAAGCUGUAUGAUUCCAAGGGUGUUAAACAUACAUUCUCAAGGGGGAAAUGCCACCCCCAAGGGGCCAACAAUUCAUUCUUCGGGGGCAAAUAGUUCUUAUUCUUUUUAUGUAGAAAGCACAGAUGUACAUACAGCACAUAAGCAGAUAUAUGGUAGAUCUGUGGCAUGAAACUUCUAUGGUGGGUGUGAUUAGGGAAAAAAUGUCUUCAAAAGCUACCGUAGAAGAACGAUGAGAAAAAAGGCUGAGAACAGCUUGAUGCAGGACAAGGCAGUAAAGAGUAUUCUGAGGUCAAGAAAGCUUCAGGGAGGGAGGGGCUGGGAUGCAGAUUUGGCAGGGAGGAGACAGUAUUCGGAACUUGGAAGAGGGCUUCCGAGGCACCUAGAGGGCUUUGGUUUUACUCCAUUCUGAUUUUACCCAAUUUCUACCUUCCGGGGAUUCCCCACAGUGUCUGACCCACUGAGAAUUCCUUUCUGGCUUUGGAGUACAACUAUGUUCAGAUUCACUUUAAGCAUGUUUUCUAAUGUUUCUGAGAGAUUUGGGGUUUGUGGGGAAGCUUAUAGCAAGGGUUUUGUUCACUACCUAGAAAUGUAAAGUAUUCAUUACCAUGUAAGCAAAGAUAGGCUCCACUUUCUCUCUCUUCUUCCUUCCUCCUACUCUCUCUGUUGGGUAGACGCAAAGUCUGUGAGUUGAAGGAGGAAAGAGGAAAGGUCUUGAACAUUGGCAGAAUGGUGUCACAGGAAACCUUGCCCUAUCAGCCACCAUGUGAGGGUCUGGUCCUGAGGCUUCUGGUGUGUCUAGAUUUCAUACUUCUUGUGUUUGAAAUGAAGACUUUGUAUAAAAUAAUACUUAAGGUUGAUUCCAGCUUCAAUAAUACAUUAGCCCAUAAAAUGUCAUCUGCAUUUACACAAUAAUGUGUUUAAAGUAUAGCUGUUGGAGUUGUACAUCUUUGGGUGAAGGUUUUGAUUCUCCUGUUGCAAUCCAAACACUCAGUAGAGUGUUGAGCUGAAUCUAUAAUUGCGACCUUUGUGUGAACUGCACAUCACCACAAUACAAGGGGAAUAGCCUCCACCGCCGAGUCUUUACAGAUUCAACAUAGGGGCCAAGGUUCAAGUCCUCUGGACUUGGAAGCCUCUGAAGACAUACUUAGCCAAAAUCACAAUCUUGCCUACUACAGUGAGCCACAUGAAAUUCCCAUUUUUGUAGUUCAAAAAUCGUUGAAUUUUGGCAAAUUUAGAGUUCAACCUGGAGCUUAACCAGCAGAUCAGUCUCCUUUAAUGAGGCGACCAUUUUUACUAAAUAAAAUCUUUACCUAUGUCAAGACACAAGAAAUAGCUGUCACUGAUUUAUUAUUUUUUUUAAGUUUUUAUUUUAAUCACCUGGUGCUCAUUACAACAAGCGCUUUCCUUAAUCCCCAUCACCUAAUUUUGCUCAUCGCUCCCCCCCUCCAAGCAUCAGAUUGUUCUCUAGAGUCAGGAGUCUGUUUCUUGGUUUGUCUCUUUGUUUCUCUCUCCCCCCCACCCUUUGCUCACUUGUUUUGUUUCUUAAAUUCCACAUAUGAGUGAGAUCAUGUUAUUUGUCUUUCACUGACUGACUUAUUUCAUUUAGCCUGGUACUGUCUAGCUCCAUCCAUGUUGUUGCAAAUGGCAAGAUUUCAUUCUUUUUGUGGCUGAAUAAUAUUCCGUUGUAAACAUAUGACACAUCUUUAUCCAUUCAUCAAUUGAUUGACAUUUGGUCUCCUUCCGUAGUUUGGCUAUUGUAAAUAAUGAUACAAUAAACAUAGGGGUGCAGGUAUCCCUUUGAAUUAGUGUUUUUGUAUUGGGGGGGUAAAUGCUUACUAGUGCAAUUGCUGGAUCAUAGGAUUUUAAGUUUUUGAGGAACAUCCAUACUGUUUUCCACAAUGGCUGCACCAGUUUGCAACCCCACUAACAGUGCAUGAGGGUUCCUUUUUCUCCAUAUUCUUGCCAACACCUGUUGUUUCUUGUGUUUUGGUUUUAGCCAUUCUGACCAGUAUAAGGUGAUAUCCCAUUGUGGUUUUGAUUUUCAUUUCCCUGAUGAUGAGUGAUGUUUAGAAUCUUUCCAUGAGUCCGUUGGCCAUCUGUAUGUCUUCUCUCGGAGAAAUGUCUGUUUACGUCUUCUGCCCGUUUUUAGACUGGAUUGGUUGCCUUUUGGGUGUUGGGUUUUGUAAGUUCUUUACAUAUUUUGCAUUAAAACCCUUUGUUGGAUAUGUCAUUUGCAAAUACUUUCUCCCAUUUUAUAGGUUGCUUUUUAGUUUUGUUGAUUGUUUCCUUCACUGUGCAGAAGGUUUUUAAUUUGCUAUAGUUCCAAAGCUAGAAAAAAAGUUGCUAUGGCUGACGUCAGAGAAGUUACUGAGUACACUCUCCUAUGGUUUUUAUGGUUUCAGGUCUCACAUUUAGGUCUUUAAUGCAUUCUGAAUUUAUUUUUGUGUAUGGUGUAAGAGAGUGGUCCACUUUAUUCUUUUGCAGUAUCUGUCCAGUUUUCCCAACACCAUUUGUUGACGACACUGUCUUUUACCCAUUGGAUAUUAUUUUCUGCUUUACCAAAUAUUAAUUGACCAUAUAAUUUUGAAUUCAUGUCUGGAUUUUCUGUUCUAUUCCAUUGAUCUACAUAUCUGGUUUUGUGCCAGUACAAUACUGUUUUGAUUACUACAGCUUUGUAUUAUAACUUGAAGUCCAGAAUUGUCAUGCUUCCAGCUUUGCUUUUCUUUUUCAAGACUGCUUUGGCUAUUUGAGGUCUUUUGUGGUUCCAUACAAAGUUUAGGAUUGUGUGUUCUAGCUCUGUGAAAAGUGCUGUUGGUAUUUUGAUAGGGAUCGCAUUAAAUAUGUAGGUUGCUUCGGGUAUUGUAACCAUUUUAACAAUAUUUGUUCUUCCAAUCCAUGAGCAUGGAAUGUCCCCAUUUCUUUGUGUCAUCAUCAGUUUUCAUCAGUGCCCCAGCUGUGUGGUUUUCAUAUAUGGCCUUUAUUAUGGUGAGGUAUGUUCCCUCUAAAUCUACUUUGUUGAGCGAUUUUAUCAUGAAUGGAUGUUAUAUUUUGUCAAACACUUUUCCUACAUCUAUUGAAAUGAUCACAUGGUUCUUAUCCUUUCUCUUAUUGACAUGAUGCAUCACGUUGAUUGACUUGUGAAUAUUGAACCACCCUUGCAACUCAGGAAUAAAUCCCACUUGAUCAUGGUGGGUGACUUUUUUUUAACAUAUCGUUGGAUUCAGUUUGUAUUAUGUUGAGGAUUUUUUGUUCUUUUUUUUAAAUUUUAAUGUUUAUUUAUUUUAGAGAGAGAGAGACAGAGUGCAAGCAGUGGAGAGGCAGAGAGAGGGAAACACAGAAUCCGAGGCAGGCUCCAGGCUCUGAGCUGUCAGCACAGAGUCUGAGGUGGGGCUCAAACCCAUGAGCUGUGAGAUCAUGACCUAAGCCGAAGUCAGAUGCUUACCCAAUUUAGCCACCCAGGCACCCCAAUAUUGGCCUGUAAUUCUUAAAAAAUUUUUUUUAAAUGUUUAUUUGAGAGAGAGAGAGAGAGAGAGAGAGAGAGAGAGCGAGCAUGAGAAGGGGAGGGGCAAAUAGAAAGGGAGACACAGAAUCUGAAGUAGGCUCCAGGCUCUGAGCUGUCAGCACAGAGCAUGACGUGGAGUUCAAACUCACAAACUAUGAGAUCAUGACCUGAGCUGAAAUCAGAUGCUUAACUGACUGAGCCACCCAGGCAUCCCUAUAGUUCUCUUUUUUUGUGGUGUCCUUAUCUGGCUUUGGUAUUAAGGUAAUGCUGGCCUCAUAAAAUGAAUUUAGAAGGUUUCCUUUCUCUUUUCCUUUUUUUUUUUUUAAUGUUUAUUUUUGAGAGACAGUGCAUGCACACACAAGCAGGGGAGGGGAAGAGAGAGUGGGAGACAGGAUCUGAAGCAGGCUCCCCACUGACAGCAGACAUCCUGAUGCGGGGCUCAAACUAACCCCAAGAUCAUGACCUGAGCCAAAAUCAGAUACUCAACCAGCUAAGCCACCGAGGUGACCCUCUUUUUUACUCCUUGGAAUAGUUUGAGAAAAGAGGUACUAAGUCUUCUUUAAAUGUUUGGUAGAAUUUGCCUGUGAAGCCAUCUGGUCCUGGACUUUUGGAUGUUGAAAGUUUUUUGAUAAUUGAUUCAAUUUCUUUGCUGGGAAUUGGUCUGUUGAAAUUUUCUAUUUCCUGUUUCAGUUUUGGUAAGUUGUGUGUUUCUAGGAAUUUAUACAUUUCUUCUAGGUUGUCCAAUUUGUUGGCAUAUAGUUUUUCAAAAUAUUCUAUUAAUUGUUUGUAUUUCUGUGGGUUUUGUUGCUAUUUCUCUUCUCUCGUUUGUAAUUUUAUUUAUUUGGGUCCUUUCUCUUUUUUUCUUAAUAAGCCUGGCUAGAGGUUUAUCAAUUUUAUUGAUUUUUUUUCCCAAAGAACCAGUUCCUGGUUUCAUUAAUCUCUUCUAUUGUUUUUUGGUUUUUUUUGUUUAUUUUUUGUGUGUGUGUGUGUGUGUGUGUGUGUGUGUGUGUGUACGUGUGUGUGUGUGUGUGUGUGCGUGUGUGUGUGUUAGGUUCUAUAUCAUUUAUUUCUGCUCUAAUCUUUAUUACUUCCUUCCUUCUGCUGGUUUUAGCAGCAAAAGGUGUUCUGCUUUUUCUAGCUCCUUUAGGUCUAAGGUUAGGUUGUUUAUUUGAGAUUUUUCUUCCUUGUUGAGGUAGGUCUAUAUUGCUAUAAACUUUCCUCUUAGCCACUUUUGCUGCAUCCCAAAGUUUUUGAACUGUUGUGUUUUCAUCUUCAUUUGUUUCCAUGUACUUUUUUAAUUUCUUCUUUUAUUUCUUGGUUGACCCGUUCAUUGUUUAGCAGCAUGUUAUUUAACCUCCAUGUAUUUGUGGUCUUUCCAGAUUUUUUACUGUGGUUGACUUCAAGUUUCAUAGCAUUGUGGUCAAAAAAGAUGCAUGGUAUGACUUUGUUCUCUUUGAAUUUGUUGAUGCUUGUUUUGUGGCCUGAUACAUAAUCUGUUCUGGAGAAUGUUCCAUGUACACUUGAAAAGAAUGUGUAGUCUGCUGUUAUAGGAUGGAAUGUCCUGAAUGUAUCUGUUAAAUCCACCUGGUCCACUGUGUCAUUCAAAGCCACUGUUUCCUUGUUGAUUUUCUGUUUAGAUAAUAUGUCCAUUGAUGUAAAUGGGGUGUUAAAAUCUCCUAUUAUCGUAUUAUUAAUGAUUAAUUCCUUUAUGUUGGUUAUUAACCGUUUUGCAUAUUUGGGUGCUCCCAAGUUGGAUGCAAAAAUAAUUUAUUGUUAUAUCUUCUUGUUGGAUUGUCGCCUUUAUUAUCAUAUAGUGUCCUUCUUUGUCUCUUGUUACUGUCUUUAUUUCAAAGUCUCUUUUGCUGUUAAAAAUAUUGCUACUCUGGUUUUCUUUUGACAUUCAUUUGCAUGAUAGACAUUUCUUCAUUCCCUCACUUUCAACCUGCAGGUGUCUAUAGGUCUAAAAUGAGUCUCUUGUAGGCAGCAUACAGAGGAGCCUUGUUUUUUUUAUCCAUUCUGUCACCUAUGUGUUUUGAUUGGAGGAUUUAGUCUAUUUACGCUUAAAGUAAUUAUUGAUAGACCUGUAUUUAUUGUCAAUUUAUUACUUAUUUUGUGUGUUUUUUUUCUGAAGAUUUUCUAUGAUCCUUUCUUAUCUUUCAUGAUUUUCUGGUUUUCUUUAGUAAUAUAUUUGGAUUUAUUUCUCUUUAUUCUUUGCAUAUCAAUUAGUGGUUUUCGAUUUGUGGUUACCAUUGGGUUUGUAUAUAACCUCUUCUGCAUAUAGCAGUGUAUAUUAAGUUGAUGGUCAUUUCAGUUUGAACCCAUUCUUUACUCCUGUUCUCCUCACAUUUUAGGUAUAUAGUGUCUAUUUUACAUCCUUUUGAGUUCCUUGACUGAUUUUUUACAGAAAUAUUCUUUUUUACUGUUUUGUGUUUCCUAUCUUUAUACUGUCACUUCAAGUCUCUCCUUUCCACUCAAAGAGCCCCCUUUAAUAUUUUUGUCUAUGGUGUAAGAGAGCAGUCCACUUCAUUCUUUUGCACAUAGCUGUCCAGUUGUCCUGACACCAUUUGUGCAAGCUACUUUUUCCCAUUUCAUAUUCUUUCCUCCUCUAUUUUUUUAUUUCAUUUUAUUUUAUUUUAUUUUAUUUUAUUUUUUUAAUUUUUUUUAACGUUUAUUAUUGAGAGAGAGAGAGACAGAGCAUGAGCACGGGAGGGACAGAGAGAGGGGGAGACGCAGAAUCUGAAGCAGGCUCCAGGCUCUGAGCUAUCAGCACGGAGCCUGACGCGGGGCUUGAACUCACAAACUGUGAGAUCGUGACCUGAGCCGAAGUCAGACGCUUAACCGACUGAGCUACCCAGGCACCCCAUCCUCCUCUAUUUUUUUAACCAUCGUUUUAUUUCCCACCCUUUUCCAAAAGAUCUUAAUGUGACCAGGAGUGCAAAGGAAUGGGAAUAUUCCAGAGCUGCUUUAAGAGAGACGAACCUAUAGCUUUCAAAGAAACGUCUAUUUCUUGUUGUGUUCCGUACGUCAUACAACAGCCCUGUGAAACUGAAUUAGGAAAUUCAGAGUCUUAAAAAAAAAAAGUGCUCUCUAGAAACCCUCUGUCAUCCUUUACAACCUAACCGAUCCCUUUUGGUCUUAAUGUGUUUCUAUGAGUUCUGACCUUUCUGGUAAUCAACAUGGAUAUGCCAUAUCCUGGAAACAGACUGGGAAUGUUGUUUGACAUGUGGAUUAGGCUGCAGUGACAGUGUGGUCUGUCAGAUAGUCCACAAAACACAGCUACCUGUAGAAAAUGAACUCCCAAGUAGCUAUAUCUUCUCUCCUAGUGAACACAGAACUGUCUCAUUUCUGAGCGAAAACACAGCAGAAAAGGAAGACUCGGCAUGCCGCUUCUCAGGCCGUAUCCUUAUUUCCAUGUCACUCCAGUCGACAAUUCCCAGGACAACACAAUCCACUAUCUCGACAAGCAAAUAAAAAGGUACAAGAAAUAAAGAAAUAAUCCUUCUCAGUAUCUUUUCUCAAGGUCUUUCUCCCAGAACAACUUUCUUCUCUCCAGAAGCCAGCUCCAAGGCCCUGGUUCAUUGGCAGUAUGUAUUUUCAGUUGGCAAAAAAUGUGAAAAGGAAUCAUGCUGAACUUAGCUUCCCCAAAACUGAAUUCAACUUGAUGUCAAACUCCUACUAGGGCUUGUAAAAGCUGCACUGGUGCCGGCAUCUGUAGUUAGAGAAAAGAGACAGCUGUAAAAAACAUCUUCUCACCCAAAGAUAAUUUGGGAAAGGUCAUUUUAUUACAUGAUUUAUUUAUAUUCUUUCUCCACGGUACACAGAGUUCUGAUGGGUACACAGAGCUGAGAGGAGGAGAAACAUUGAAAGAAACCCUUAAGGCCCACCAGUGGUAGGCAUCUUAUGGGCCAAGGAGACGUCUGGGGUACAUCCUUUAACUAAAAUAGCCUUCAAGUCAAUGCAGUCCUUCCGUGUCAGUCAAAUGAAAAGGAAAGUUCUACCAUAAGACCCAUGUUCUCCCCAAUUGUCUGAGGCAUCAUCAGUAAGAAACAUGAUUAGCAGAUCUUGCUUUUAUAGUCACCAAGAACAACCAAGAUAGUUUUCCCCUCUGAAAAGAAAAAAAAAUGUCAAGUUAAUCAAAUUUCCAAUGGUUCAUCUUCUUUACACAUUGUGUUGGCAUGUUAACGGGCAUAAAUUUUCUCUUCUGGAUUUCUUUGCCUGGAGAAGCAUGUGAUAAUUACAUUCUAAACAGACCUACAUAGUUAAUAUGGAAAGCUGAAUAUCUCUUUAAAUGCAAACAGAUGGGCAGUUUUGUUUAUCUUCACUUGGCUCUAUGACUGUGUCCUAAACACGCAGGCAGGAUUUUUUAAUACCAAGUUUAUAAUGGUGACAAGUAGGAUUUACUGGAGAAAUACUUUUUGACCAUAUAUUUGAUUUAACCUCCCCCUGAAAUGGAGUCCAAGCUAAACGUUUCUGGGUUUUGUAUUUUUGUUUUCUGUUUAAGCAUUACUCCUCUCUGUUUAUUGCCGGCAUGUCCCAGACGCUGGGGUCAGGUGUUUGAAAAUGAGAACCAAAUAGUUUUUAUUCUUGCCCUCAGAGUGUAGCCAGUACUGUGGCUUUGUUAAGCUUCUUGUUUCCCUUGCUAAAAAGUACUUUAAAGAAAUGCAGCGAAAGAGCCAAAGAGAAGGCGAAGGUAAAGAAUGUGACUUGCUUUCCAUGAUUUCCUUCAACCCAACCAGUUAGGCAUUCCUGUUUUUUGCUUUUACAAAUGUUUACAUAGGUAGCAACUUUCAGCGUCCUCUAGCCAAUUGUAAGUUUUCUGAUAGGGCAGACUUUAUCGUCCUUUCUUCAAAACUGGCUUACGGGGGAAAGCUGUGGUGAGGAUCGUAUUCUCUAAUAAUGUCUGUGGCUGUGUUUGACCGAUUUGCUUCUGAGACGAUGAAGUAUGAUGUCUCUAUGGAAUUCCAUUUGAAAGAGAUUUAAAAAUUAAACAUCAUGAAUAUUCAGUAAAGCUGCCUGGAAGUUUAGCUCUAAGUGACUUAAUCACUUUCUCUGCAGUUUUCGUUAAAGAAGCCAUUGUUGGAACUAGGAAAGGUGUUUUCUUUUGUUUUAUAUAGAAAACCCUUAAAGUUAAUUAGCAAUGCUAUGUGAACCAUUUCCUUGAAAUGUUGAAUUUUAAUGCCCCUCAAAAUACGAGUCACCCUAGCAAGGCCACGGCCCCGCUAUAGGAGCCAAGGUUAUUUCUUUUUUCUUUUUUUUUUUUUUAAUUUUUUUUUCAACGUUUUUUAUUUAUUUUUGGGACAGAGAGAGACAGAGCAUGAACGGGGGAGGGGCAGAGAGACAGGGAGACACAGAAUCGGAAACAGGCUCCAGGCUCCGAGCCAUCAGCCCAGAGCCUGACGCGGGGCUGGAACCCAUGGAGCGCGAGAUCGUGACCUGGCUGAAGUCGGACGCUUAACCGACUGCGCCACCCAGGCGCCCCCAAGGUUAUUUCUUAAUGCCAUCUCUCUGCUUGCAUGCACAUUAGUUUCCAAAGAACACAAGGCCAAUACAGAAUUGAUCAGUACUAAGUUCAUUUUGUUCUUUUUUUGUUCUGUGUUACAAAGAGAAUCUCAAAUUAUAAAACGUCCCAUUUAAAAUUAAGAGGACCAUCUCCAAAGUUAGAAAAGAAGUAAUAAUGUAGGAGAGGUAAUGUGUUCAGAAAAAUUACCCAAAAGUGACAUAAGGCAAAAACUUUACUAUUUGCUCCUUCAAAGUUGUAUCAGUUGUUCUAUCUAGCCCACCUUAAUACAUUAAAAAAAAAAACAAAAACAAAAACAAAAACAAACAAGAUAGCAACAAUCUCAAAAACUAACGGGAAAAUUAUUUAGAUUACUGAACGUAUGCAUACUUUGUAAAACAAGUAAGAAUGUCAAGACUGAGGCCACUGCUAUAGGCUCUGAGCUUUGAGUUGUCCAUUGCAUUAGUCAGACCACCUUUAAUUGAAUUAAAUUAAAUUAAAUUAAACUUGGCCACAAUGGGUCAAGUCCAAAGGCAGGAGGUCUUAUACCAAGUUGUUCCCUAUGGUGGGUAGUGAGAUUUCCCACCUAUAAUCCAUGCAUGACAUAGCAACUAAUUAAAAUCCAAUCAACUAGAGAUGUCACUAGUUAAUGAACAUUCAAGAAUAAUAACACAUUACAUGUAGUCAGCAUCUCUUAGAAGUCUCAGUACCCCAACUUUGGAAGGGAGAUAUUGUUAUUCUCAUUUUGCAAAUAGGAAUAUAGAUGCAUGGAGAGGCCAAACAGCUAUUUCACUGUAUAGCAUCCAGAGCUGGGAUUGAAAGUCAAGACUGUUGUGAGCUGGGAACGCCACUUAGUUUUAGUUACAGUUUCAAUAUGUACCAGUUGAAUAACCUCGAGGAAGUCACUUAACUUUUCUGAGCCUCAGUUUGUCCAUCUUUACUAAGGAGAAAACAAGCACUAACUCACUGUUGGGAGCAUUAAGGAGACCAUUCACUCACUUAAAGCAUUUUAGCACAGAGGCUAGCCCACAGUAAGUACUCGGUCAACCUACUCUGGACACAAAAAGAAAAAUGAGAUUCUAAUACAAAGUUGAUUUCCCAAGAGUCCUCCAAUGUGUUCAAGGAGAGAUACACAAACUACUGAGUGUUCAACUCAAUCGCCAUUCUCCACAAGGGUAAAUUACAGUGGGAACUCAUGUAGAAAAUGAUGAGUUAGAGGCAUAGGGUGGCAUAUGAGACAAAAAGAAACAUAUGAUGCAUCAUGUUUACUGUGAUUAACAAGGCAAGAAGGUGAACGUACACUUCAGAAAGCUCUUGAACGACAGCAGUGAGACAGUAAACCCAUUUCGUCAGUCUUCAGUUAGCUUAAAAAAUCAAUGCUCAUUCUGGUUUAUAUAAGUUAUAUAUGUUUCAAUAGGAAUUUUUUUUUUUAAAUACAAGGUGCUUAAAAACAACUCAAAAGUAAAAUUUCAAGACUCUUUGAGAACAUUCAGAAUUCCCUUUUUAACUUUCUUCUUCUGGACUGUAAUGAUUUAGGGUGAACUUUAUUUGACCUUCCAAUAAAGGCUUCAGUUAUUUGAGGGAACAAGAAAGAUGGGAAGAUGAAAGAAAUCGGGUCGCCCAAGUUGCCAGGGCUGGCAAAGUGAUUCCAAAUUCAGAAUCCUUGUGCCUUGAGCCCCUUUCAGAAACAGGCUCCUGGCAAAUCCAGGGCAGAACUCCAAGCCAUUGGCAGGCCAGUUUCAGUACAAAGCAAGCCAAAUGUAACAUAACUGCCUAGAUUCUGGUUCUUUGGAGGUGUUAACUCCAUCUAUGGAUUGUGAAAGUCCUUAGGAUUUAUCAGUGAGGGGCUUUUAAUGUAAGAGAGUUGAAAAUGGGCAGAUGCAGCCAGAAAUGCAUAAGCAAUGCAUUUUUCUUUUCCUUUUUCUUUUUAAUGCUUAUUUAUUUUUGAGACAGAGACAGAGUAUGAACAGGGAGGGGCAGAGAGAGAGAGGGAGACACAGAAUCUGAAACAGGCUCCAGGCUCUGAGCUGUCAGAACAGAGCCUGACGCGGGGCUCAAACCCAUGAACUGUGAGAUCAUGACCUGAGCUGAAGUCGGAUGCUUAACCAACAGAGCCACCCAGGCACCCCAGCAAUGCAUUUUUCUAUGAUACAAUGUAUCUGUCCCCUUCUGAACAAGGUACACGAGGGACCAUUAGAGGAUCCCCUUUUUUAAAAAUCUCAAUCUUUUCAUAAAUAGCUUAUCUGAAACAAAUCAAUACAAAUCCUCCUCGCAUCAUUUUAUCAUAAAGACCAUGUAUUUCCUUUCUUUUUUUUUUUAAAGGUCACACCGGUCUAUUUCCUUUAUGAGAGAUCUCUUUGGGAGGUUCACUGCUAACCAAUUAAAACCUAAUCACCUUGGUACACUAGAAUUUCUUUAUCAGAAGCCUUUCUUACCCAUUAAGAGUACUACAGUUUGGCAUUUGAGAACAGUUCAUUCUGGGCUGUCUGCAAAGAAGAAAGGGGAUGAGAACCAUUUUCAAGGGCUUUUCUCGUGACAUUUACUCCUCAGCUCUGCAGGAGAACACGUCAGCUCUCUCAGUCCACAGCUGCCUGUACGUCCGUCCUGACUGCAUUGCCCAGGGACUGUGUGCUCAGUUCUCAAAGGGGCCAUCAGUCUGAGAGCUGGAUGGGAGCCACCAGUGGGCAACGGUCUGGAAACAGACCAGUCCCUUCCUGUUCCUCAUAGCAAAAAAAGUCAAACAAGAUUGAUGGAGGGAAGGGUAGGAGAAACGAAAGUGUUAGGAAAAAUACUCCCAAAUUUGGAAAUAAGGCAAAAAGAAUACCACGAGCCGUUUCAAAGUCAUACUAACUGUUCUAAUUAGCCCCCUAAAGGUCAUUUGACGCUCCAGAACUGCGCUAAUAUAGUUGCCGAGAGCCACAUAUGGGCCCUUUAAGUUAAAUCCGAAUUAAAAUUAAAUAAAAAGCUUUUGUACAAUGAAGGAAAUCGUCAACAAAAUAAAAGGCAACCUACUGAAUGGGAGAAGUUAUUUGCAAAUGAUAUUGUAAUAAGGGGUUAAUAUCCAAAAUAUAUAAAGAACUUCUACAACUCAACACCAAAAAAAAAAAACAACAACAACAACAACCAAACAACAAAAAACAAAACCCUGAUUAAAAAUUGGUCAGAGGACCUCAAUAGACAUUUUUCAAAGAAGACAUACAGAUGGCCAACGUCUGUUAGCCAUGAAUGGAUGCUCAACAUCACCAAUCAUCAGAGAUAUGCGAAUAAAAACCACAAUGAGCUAUCACCUCAUGCCUGUCAGAAUGGCUAGCAUCAAAAAGAAAAGAAACAACAAAUGUUGGCAAAGAUGUGGAGGAAAAGGAACCCUCGUGCACUGUUGGUGGGAAUGUAAACGAGUGCAACCAUUGUGAAAAACAGCAUGGCGUUUCUACCAAAAAUUAAAAAUAGAAAUACUAUAUGAUCUAGUAAUUCCCCUGCUGGGUAUUUGCCCAAAGAAAAUGGAAUCAUGAAUUUGAAAAGUUAUAUGCACCCUUAUGUUUAGUGCAGCAUUACUUACAACAGCCAUGAUAUGGAAGCACCCAUAUAUUGAUGGAAGUGUCCGUCAACAGAUGAAUGGAUAAAGAAGAUAUGUAUAUGAAUGAUACACACACACACACACACACACACACACACACAAUGGUAGGAAUGAGAUCUUACCAUUUGCAACAACACAGAUGGAACUAGAGGGUAUUAUGCUAAGUGAAAUAAGUUAAAGAAAGACAAAUACUGUACGAUUUCACUUAUAUGUAGAAUCUAAAACACAACACAAAUGAACAAGGAAACAAAAAAGCCAAACAGUGGUAAAUACAGAGAACAGACUGGUGGUUGCCAAAAGGGAGGCAGGUGUGUCUGUGGGCAAAAUAGAUAAGAGAAUAAAGAUGUAAAAACUUCCAGAUAUAAAAUAAAUAAGUCACAGAGUUGAAAAGUACAGCAUAGGGAAUAGAGUCAAUAAUAUUGUAAUAAUGUUGUAUGAUGACAGACAGUGACUACAUUUACCGUAAACACUGAGUGAUGUAGAGAACUAUCUAAUCAAUAUAUGGUGCAUCUUAAACUAAUCUAAUAUUGUAUGUCAACUAUACUUCAAUAAAUAACUCAAUAAAAUUUAAAAGUCGUUUCUUCAGUUAUUCUAACCACAUUUCAAGAGUUCAAUGGCUACAAGAGGCUAGUGGCUGCAUACUGAACUGUGCAGAUAAAGAACAUUUCCAUCAUUGCAGAAAGUUCUAUUGGGUAGCUGUUCUAAGGAAAGGUAAAUUUGUGUUAAAAUUUACUAUUAAUUAGAGCUUAGACCAUAAAGUUGGAUGUCAACUGGUAGAAAACUGAUAAGUUGCAAAGAGUUUUUGUUUCUUAGAGAUGCAAAUAAUUUUUGCCCAGAAGAUAACUCCACAAGUUCUGGUUUUAUUACCCUGAAGGAAAUUAAUCAGUUUUGUAUAUACAUUAGUUAUUUUGUUCCAGCAUUGUUUAACUGAAUAAAUAUGUAUCAGUCUCUUACAUCCUCCUUUUGAACCAGUUUUGUCUUCCUGCUGUGUCUCUUGGUUACUGAAUUAGAGAAAUCCUUAACAUAUGCCCAUUAUAUAUUUUGGAGUAUUAUAUUUCUAACUUUUAGAGAACUGUAACAAAGGGAUUGAACAGAUGCACCUAGUGAGAAUUUGAUUUAAAUAGGGUCUAAAUUAAAUAUGGGGCAGAUUGUUCUCUUGGCAAAAUUUAUUGUAAGUGCUUCUCAGCUUUUCCAACAAUACAGUAGCACAGCAGAGAGAUUAGAGCCUACGCUUUGAGGAUCUUUGUCAAGGUCCAUAGAGGUCACUGCCAGGAUAAUACACAAGAAGGAUGUAGAAGCAAAAUAGAAGAGAAAAAGCUGAGGAAGAUUGAAACUUUCCCCCUUUUUUAUUUUGUGUAAUAUUGCAUGGUUUUAUUUUUAAUUAAUGAGUACACAGAACUACAUAAUUAAAAAUAAAAAUUAAAAAAUGCAUAAGCAGGGAGGCAAUUUAUCAUUAAAUCAGCACUCUACCACUUACUAGUGUGUCCUUAGGCAAGUGAUCUAAUUUCUCUGAGCCUUGGUUUACUCAUCUGUGAAAUGGAAAUAAUAACAAGUAGAUCAUAGGACCGGUGUGAUGAUCAGAUUAGAUGAAUUGUGACACAGAGUUAGGACUCAAUAAAUGUUAGCUAGAAUUAUUAUCACCCCUGGCAGUUUAGGAACAUUCCUUAGAGUUACUGAGAAAGCAACAUCUAAUACCUCUCAUCUGAUUUUGAAAAUUCAUGGGAAUACUGCUGCCUCAUCCAUAAUAUAUUUCAUUUUAAUUCGAUCAUAAUUUCACCUCACAUUCUUGAGUAAAGAUACUUCACUUUGAACUUGACUUUACCUGUUCUUGGUGAGCUCAGUGUAUCAUUAGGAGUAUGCAUACCCCGGAUGGGAAAACAUGGCAUCUAUGGUAGACAAUAGUUUCCCUGAAGACUCGUAGGAAAAACCAUUAUACCUAAUUUUAGUUGACUUUGAGAAAUCAAGAGUGUCAGAGGAAAGGUACAAAUACACAAAUAUACACAUGCCCCUACCACCACCAAUAGCACUACCCGAACAAUGCCCAAACAACCCAAAACUUAUUAGAACUUGCAAUUUGGACAAUUAUUUUUGGUGAAGGAAAAGAAGAAAGAACAAAGAUGUCACAUAUGACAUAUCACACCAACUUCCCUCCACCCCGUGCCCCAACCCCGUCCUUACUCAUUUCAUUUUCUCUUCCUGGUAGCUGAAUACGUAGAUUUGCAGAAAUUUACGUUCCAGAAUAGAGAGAAGCCCAGAGAAGGAAAGCUUAUAAGCAAGUGUGUUGGCAACAAAGAACCAAUCUUAAGAAGGUGGGAACCCAAAGUAGCCCAAUCUCCCUGGGAGAAUGGAAAUUCCUCCUCCUCCGCCCCAAAGGAGUCUAACCCAGGUUCUGUUGCCCUGCCUGUGGCAGAUGGUGAGAUGGUGAGAUGGUUAUGGGUGCCUGUGGAUUCCUCAAAGGGAAGUUAGGAGAGAAGGAAAGAUAGAUACUAAGUCUUUUGAUCUCAUGACAAUUAACCGUGAAGAUGUUUGUCGCAAGGAUUAAGCAAAAAGGAGUUUUUGCUAAAAGAGACCCCUUGUUCACAUUUAUCCAAUGCCCUUAAAGGAUUAUUUAAUAUAUUUUUAUUAAUAUUCAGUAUUUAUAAAAUUGAUAUUUAAUAUUAUUAUUUAAACAAUCAUUUCCUUUGGACUUAAACAGGCUUUAGCUGUAAGUGCCCUAUAAGAGGUUUCUGCCCCCCUGCAGCGUAUUACCUUGAGUAACUUUCAGGGACGGUCAGUCCUCACUUCCUAGGUAUCUUUGUGAACGGUGCUUAGUAGAGUACAUGAGGGCAUGGAAAGCCAGUAAGCAUUAGCUCCCAUUGUGAUGGCUACUGAACUAACCCUGGGGUCACCCUAAGAAGGCUAACUCUUAGUAUUUCUUAAACUUACUAAGGAAAAGCCAGUUGUGUGGUUUAUCAGGAUCCUGGCAAUAAAAAGGAUGCACCCCCAACCCUGAGGUUGGUUGUAAUGAGAAGGUGCUCAUGAUGGGAGGUGUGGAUGCAGAGAAACAAGAGGUGGCAAGGCACUAGACGACUAGCAAAACGAAGUAGUUAUGACUGUUUUUUUUAUGGCCUGAAUGCUGUAUGCCCCCAAAUGCAUACGUUAAAACCCUAACUCUCGACAAUGGUAUUAGGAGGUGGGGCCUUUAGGAGGUAAUUAGGUCACAAGGGUGGAGCUUUCAUGAGUGGGAUUGCUGCCUUUCUAAAAAAAUUUUUUUAAUGUUUAUUUUUGAAGGAGAGACAGAGCAUGAGUGCGGGAAGGGCAGAGAGAGAGGGAGACACAGAAUCUGAGCUGUCAGCACAGUGCCCAACGCGGGCCCAAACUCACAAACCGCUAGAUCAUGACCUCAGCCGAAGUUGGACACUUAACUGAGUCACCCAGGCGCCCCAUGGGAUUGCUGCCUUUCUAAGAGGAGACAGGAAAACUGAUUUCUCUCUCCACUCUCUGCCCUAGGAGGAUGCAAAGAAAAGAGGUCCAUCUGCCAACCAGGAAGUAUUCCCUCACCACACGCCAGAUCUGCCAGUGCCUUGAUCUUGGAUUUCCCAACCUCCAGAGCUGUGGGAAAAUAAAUUUCUUACUUAGGAUGUUUAGGCCAUCCAGUCUAUAGUCAUUUGUUAGAGCAGUCCAAGCUGACUAAGACAACUGUCCUUUGGGCUGAAGAGAUAAGUGGUAGCCUUAGUCACUGCCAGGGGGGAAAUGACAAAACACUAAGGGAGGAGGGAAGACAUACCCCGACUUCUUUCUCUCCUGCCCCCUGACUUCCUUGUCGGUAUCACUCUCUAGCCGAAUCCAACUUGAAGCUAGCUGGCCAAGGAGCCCCAAAUGCAGCCUAGAGGCGGCCCCCUGUGCCAGAGAUGGGGAAACAAGAAUGCAGGGGGAAGAGAGACAGAGAAUAACCAUGUUCUAAGACUGCAGUCACAUACAUGGUUAAUUUUCCUCUUCAUUCCUGAUGGUUGAAAUUCACUUUCCAGAAGAGGCCCACCCUGGCCUUCUGUCCCUAGCUCUGGCAACUUCCUUCUCUUCAUUAGUAAAUGCUGCCAUUAAAACAACAACCUAAGCAAGUCAGAGGAUAUACAAAGACAACUUGUGCUACUUAAUUUCAAAGCGCCAGCUCUUUGAACAGCAUUAAAGUCUGUUUCUCAUAGAGGGCAAAUUAGUUAAUUUCAAAUGUGCUCUGUGAAUAUCAAGAGACCACCCAAAUGUUUACUUAUUUUAGGCCCGUCCUCUUAGUAGGUUAAAAGAAUCCAUUUGCUCUGCGAGAAAGAAGGGGUCGGCAUUCAUGCAUAUAAAUUGUCUAAAUGAAGGGUCAGCUCUAUAUUAAAACAACAUUAAUUAUUCAUUUAGCAGAGGAGAAAAAUUUACCUAUCACAGAAAACCCUUAGGGUGACAUUCUUUUCUACAAGCCCGCUUCUAAACCAAAUAACAUCUCAAAUACUCCUCUUAUUCAGCCUCGCUUCCUGGAAAUGAGAAAAGGCAUGGAAAGAAAAACAACUCCGUGCUUUAUAGUCGCACGGUUGGUAUAAGCAAGUUCAUUUACACCAGGAGCUUAGAUCCAGAAUUCCAGAGCUGAAGAAAUGUGCGCUGAAAAAUCCCUUGACUGUUACUCUCUAAUAAAGCUCAAACUUUGGAAAAAAAUCAGUGGGGUCUGUUCCAGGCCUGGGAUUCUGGGGACUAGCAGAGGAGGACCCCAGAGGAGGUGUCUAACACCUGGCUGAGUUACAAGUCCCCCUUCCUCUCUCUGCCCCCACUCCCCCAGGGACUUUCUGGAAGCAGAACAAUCAUUGUCCAAACUCAACUCACAGUUGUCCACCAAGAAAACAGUCUCUUUUUCUGCCAACUGGAAUGUUUUAGAUUUGCAACAGCAGACUGAAGGCCAGUCCUGGGGACUUGAGGAAGAAGAGUAUCCAAAGAACACAUUUUUAUUUGCUAGAAAACAAGUACCUUGUUUAUCAUAACAAAGUCAGGGAUCUGUAUCUUUCUACUCUUUUUUUUUAAUUGUUUAUUUUUGAGAGAGACAGAGACACAGAGAGACAGAGCACGAGCAGGGGAGGGGCAGAGAGAGGGAGACACAGAAUCUGAAGCAAGCAGGCUCCAGACUCUGAGCUGCCAGCACAAAGCCCGAUGUGGGGCUCGAACCCACAAACUGUGAGAUCACCACCUGAGCCGAAGUCAGACGCUUAACCAACUGAGCCACCCAGGCGCUCCUCUUUCUAGUCUUGAUCUGGAUAAAUUCACUUUGCCCCUGCUCUCAAAAUAACUAUGGACUCCUACCAAUGGCUUAAAGAAUUUUUCUUGUUGUUCUGGUUUUGAUGAAUCAAACAGCUUAAGGUGUAGCCUGUUUUUGAGAGUUCCUGUGUGAUGAACUUGACAUUGCUGAAAGCCAGGGUUGUUAAAAUUUUCAGAGUAGGAGCAUCUACCUGGAGUCACCAUAGAAGCCUUGGGGAAGGCUACCAACAUACAAAGAUCUUCCCUCUUUGCUUGCUUGCAUGGUCUGAAAUUCAACCUUUAGAAGUGAUUUCUUUGGAUCUUUCAUUGUCUUGUUUUCUAGAAGACUCAUAUUCAAAUGCAAAUACCACUAAGAAAGAUACUGUUGAAGCUGUUGAGACCCUUGGCAGUUUGGGAAACGUGGUAUAAGGCACCAAGGCAUUCCCUUUGGCUUGAAAAGAGGGCGUUGAAAAGGUGCUAAAAAUGCACCUUCUUCAGAAUUUUUUUGAAGUUUUUUUCACCAUAGCACAAAGUUCUUUCAAACGACAGGCUUUAGGUUCAGAAGUUCCUGCUUAUUAGCAAUGUGGCCUUUGGCAAAUCUCUUAAAACUUCUAGGCCUCAGUUUCACCAUCAGUGAAACGGGCCAAUAACAUUCUAUUAAGUAUUUUUGUGGGUCUCACAUGAGAUAACUCGUAUCAAGUUACUAACAUGGCACUUAGAACAUAGUAGGUGUUCAGUAAGUGGAAAAUGGUGAUGACAAUCGCAUCUGCUCCCUACAAACAGAUGAAUCAGGAAAAACAUUUAAAUGUGUACAGAGUAGGGAAAAAUAAGGAAGAAGCAGAUGGUUGGAACAUUUCAAUGGCAGCUGGCUCUCUGUUUCACUCAUGCACUGCCUCUGUCUCUUGCUGGGAAGAGGGAGGUUUUAUAAAGGAACUGUCACUGCUUUCCGUAGAGCUGAUUUGACUCAGAGAAGGAGACACAGGGGAAACCAUAAAUAGAUGCAGCUGUCUGAUUCCUCAGGUCCAUCCCUGGGAGAAUAUUUACUCAGCUCCAAGGAAACAGUUUUAUUUGGCAGAUUAUGGUUUUAAAGUUUUUUUUGCAUCUGAAUGCUAACACUUCCUCUCUCUCCAGCUAACUGCUUUGUAACCUUUAUAAUGUGGCCUUGUAAAUAACCUUUUCUGCGGCUACCAGCCCGCUUGAAAUUUAACUAGCCAGAUGAAAGCCUAUCUCACACUGCAUCGCCUCCUAUAGUGAUGCAACAAUAGUCAGGGAAGACAGGGCAAAACAAAACAGAACAGGACGUAAUGGAUUGGGGGUCCAAUUGAGGCAUGCAGGUUUUAGUUUGAUGAUAAUCCUAAUAUGCUCAGUACAUGAGUUUGCAAUGGAAGGAAAAUGGCGUGGAUAAAGGUUUAGUCCUCAUGAAGAGGUCUUGAAAACCAUUCUGCUAAUUUUAAGUGAUGGGAAUCAUUUCAAGGGCACGUUUUCUUUGUGUACCAACCUGAUGGCCUGAUUUUCUGGUGGUAUGUUUAUCAUCCUAAAAAAGAAAACCCGUUUCAUUGAACAAGUAAUGCAUGUUUCCAUGGGCAUAUGUGAAAUCAUGUAGGGAGAAACAGGUGCAGAACUGAGCUCUGAUGUUCACCAGUCUGCCAGCUCUGCAGUUCCCAGUGGGCACUGGGACUUUCUGAAUUUCCUGCCAUUUUUUAGUUAGUCAAGUUCCAGCCUGUAGGGACAAUGCCCUUCUUUCAAGCUGAACACAGCACUUUGCCAAUUAGCCCCUGAUGCAACACUCUGGGGUUGUUAUGUCUCAAAGGUUGUCUGGAAAGGGUUCUAGAGGCUUCAGUUCCAGAAUGUGAGACUGCACCGUGGGCAUCCUCAUAUCCAUUUCCUCCUAUCCAUCUCUGUGUGAAUUUUAAGAUGCACCUAUAGGUUCCUCCACACUCAAAUGCAAAUGAAGAUAUUCUUGGCUCCUUAAAGUCAUCAAAUAUUCCCAGACAUGUUAGAAAUCCCUUUAGGCUCACCUAAGAUUCCAAAGGAUAUGGAUCUGCAGGGCUGCUAAUUGCCAUAUCUGUAUCCCCUGGGGAUGGCAAUUCCGUCUGCGCUCUCUAGACAAAGACCAGCAACUUUCUAGCCAAUAACCCCCCCCUCCCCUUGGUCAGAUGCUACUAAUAAUAUUGCCAGUCUCCAUCCUUCCUCCCCAUCCUAGUAAUGAAAUAAAAAAAAAACACAAGUAAAUGUUACAUCUUAGAAGAGGUUGGAAGUUGCUUAAAAACAGGUAGACUAUUUUGCUCUCAUUAUCCCGAAUCCUUAUUAAUAGCACCUCCUUCACUCUCACAAACUGUCACAAUUUCAGUGGUAAAAAAACAUGAUCGCCAUGUGUUCAGAGAUUACUUGAGAAACCAAAAUAUCCCCCAUAUCAGCGAAGGCAAGGGCUUGGUUGUUAUAACAAAGAAACCUCUAAAAUACAGUCGUUGAAAGAAUAGAGAGAUUUCUGUGCCAUCUAACAGUCCCAAGACAAAGUGUCUAGGAUGGCAGUCUGUUCCCCAACAGGAUCAUUGAGGAACCAAAGUUCCUUCCCUGUUGUUGUUCCGCCAUAUCUUAGAAGGUUGAAUUUGAAGUCAAAUUAGAUUCUCCAUAUUUGAAUCAGAGUAGUAGUGGGGGUUGGAGCUAGUGGGGGUUGGAGUGAAGGGGAGGAGGGGGGAGGGAGUGCAAAGGGGAGCAUGCCCAAAGAUCAAAGGCCUAGGAGUAAAGGCAGCGCACCUGACUCCUGCCCCCAUUUCUGUUUGCAAGAGCCUAGUUACACAGCUUAGGGUCACACAGCUAGUUGAGUGGUGGAAACUGGAUUUGAACCCAGGUAUCUCAAGCUGUGGUCUUUGAGAAAAAGACACAAACAAAUAAUUACAUUACACACAAAUAAACACAUCUAUAAUAAAUUAUAUAAUAGAAAACAGGUGCCAAUAAAAUACAUUGGAAUCUGAGAAAAGUGUGCCUAACCCCUUUCCCCCCACAUGAUCAUGGAAGUCUCCAGGGUGGGCCUAAAACUCUGUGUCUUAACAUAUGAGCAGGUGAUCUCUAAGCAGCCAAGAAGGUAGAAGGGCUAGAACGUCAAGCAUCACGGAGACAGGGAUUGGGUCAGUUUUGUUGUCUUCUGCCUCCGAAGCACCUGAAACGGUAUCUUGUAUACAGUAGGCACCUAAUAAAUAGUUCUGCUAUGAACAAUGGAAUUUCAGGCAAAGUGCACAGCAGGUAUAAGGGCUAGGCACCUGGCUUGCAUUGAGUCUCUUUGACUAAUACACAGCCAGUCUUUUGAGUUCAAGAGACAUUUUCCAGCUGCUUCUUUUUUAGAAAGCUUUUUCUUUUAAUUUUUUUUAACAUUUAUUCAUUGUUGAGAGACAGGGAAAUAGGAUGUGAGCAGGGGAGGGGCAGAGAGAGAGAGGGAGACGCAGAAUCCGAAGCAGGCUCCAGGCUCUGAGCUGUCAGCACUGAGUCUGAUGCAGGCCUCAAACCCACGAACCAUGAGAUCAUGACCUGAGCUGAAGUCAGACGCCGAACUGACUGAGCCAUCCAGGUGCCCCAAGAGACAUUUUCCAGCUGCUUCUCAUGGAAACCCUUGCAGAAAUCUUGACAUGAUUUUUAAAUUUCAACUGUCCAAUGGCCAGGUCCUGUACCCUGAGCCCUGGGAUUCAAGAGCCUUUCUAACAAUCCCCUUUUGAUAAGCCUGGCUUUGGCCUCUGUGGGCUGCCCCGAGGUGCAAACAAAACAGAGAUGUGAAACUUGGGAGGCAGGCUUCUGUUGCAGUGUUCUGCCAACUCUUUUGGAUGUUCUGGAUUCUGUUCCUCGUCUCUAAGGCACCAGCUCAGAUUCUGGCCAAAGAAGGCUGAAGCUCAUGGAGUGGCAGUUCCCAGGGGAGAGAAAAGGGGAUGGAUGAGAAACUAUUACUCAAAAAGCUCACAAAAGGGUGUUCAGGCAGGUGCACUGGGUGUCAGGAAGGCAGAGGGAGAGAUUGCUACCCUUUUUCUACAGAAAUUUGGAAAACGCUAUCAAGAAAAGAGUAUGAAAUUAACCUCAUGCCCACACUGAAAGAGAAGCAGUUAAAAUAUCAGAACAGACACUUAUGUUUUCUAGGGUUACAUAGAGGCACAGGCAAUGGAAUGAGGCCUGUGUGUCUGUGCUCUCACAUAAAGGAAUAGCAGGAACGUUUUGCAUCAACCUUAAUUAUUUGUCUACCAAUUCAUUUUCAAUAGCUGCAUUUGGGGGACACCUGGGUGGCUUAGUAAGUUGAGUGUCUCUCUCUUGGUAUAGGCUCAGGUCAUGAUCCCAGGGUCAUGGGAUCAAGCCCUACGUCAGGCUCAGUGCGGAGUGUGGAGGCUGCUUGAGAUUGUCUUUCUCUUCCUCUGCCCCUUCCCUGCUCGCAUUCUCUCUCUUCUCUCUCUCUCUCAAAAAAAUAGCUGCAUUUGUUCAAAAUUGGAUUUAACCAACUGUCAAGAUAUGUUUUCAUUGAAAAAGUUUUAUUGAUUUCAUUAAACAAGUAUGGUCAGGUGGUGCUAAAUGGGCUUUGGUGUGGACUGGAGGGCAGUCUUCUGGUGCAUUCUGGCUGCAUAACCUUAAAGGGGCUUAUGUUGCCUCAUCAGUAAAAUGAGGAUGAUAAUAGUACAUACUUCACUGGUCUCUUUGCAAAGGAGCCAGUGAAGUGAUUGCUAGGAAAUUCUUGGCAUCGUACCCACAGGAAAUGGCACCCACAUGGGCAAACCUCCAUACACAUUAGCUAUAAUUAUUAGUAUAAAAACAGACAAUGCAGAAAACCAUGAAAUUUAGAAAUCACCUGCAAUCCUACCACCCAGAGAAAAUCAAAGUUAACUCUGUCGUAUUACACUUGUGCUUCCGUAACAGAUAUACACCGCGGGCAUCUUUUUCCGCUAAGUUCUCUUGCUCUGCAGUCCAUAUCAUCCUUUCUAAUGACUGCAGAACAUUCCAUUGAUGCAAAUGUACCAGGAUGUAUUCUUGAUGAAGAAGAAAAUAAAGUUAAGCCCAGCAGACCACGAGUCCUCACUUCUAUGCCUGGCCAAAUCCUCAUCGUGCACAUUUCCUAUCACCAGCAAAAAAAAAAAAACCUCACUAUAAACUCAACGCCGCAGUCAGGAAGGAUCUGUGAACUGUGCCCCAAUUUCCUAAUCAGAGCUGACCUCGAGUGUUCCAGGAUAUCUCCCUUCGCUGGCAUACUCUGCUAUUGGCUUUCAAAAGAAUGAAGAGGAGAAGGGGUCAAAUCCCACCCACCUCCGCUCUAGGACUCCUGCCGACUCAGCAAACAGGGGCAGUUCUGAAAGUGCCCCUGGGUCUGGCCAAGCAGGCACUCAGGCCCCCUUGAGAGUCACAGCCUCCUGGGGACCUGACCGGGGAGGAGGGGCCCUUGUUUACACUGCAUCCCAGACCAAACAUCUGGGGAAAUUGUGACCCCUUUCUUUCCCGCUGCUGCCUUAAAAACUGAUUUGAUUAUCUCACACGAAGAAGAAAUUUCCUUUCUCACUCUUUGUUCUGCUCUCUCCUUUCCGUCUUCCCUUCUGCUUUUUCCCCCUUUUCUCCUCCCCUCCCUCCUUUCUUUUUUUUUUUUCUUCCCUGCUCAUCCCUUCUUUCCUCUUUCUCUCUUUUCUCCUUCCAGCUUCCAUUUGUUGAGGAAAGUUUAACAAAGUGAUACAUUCUUUAUUUUCCGAGCCAGAAGGAUUUUUUGUUUGUUUGUUUUUUUGGCCAAAGAUUUAUUUGCAACUGAAAGAACGAAUGAAAUAAAUGGGCCAAAGUCCUCUUUGUUAUUCAGGCAAAAAGUCCACGGAAAGUACAGAAAGGGCUGAACUUCAUGGUGACCUCAGCAAAUAUAUUUUUGGAAAAAGAGGCCUGGAGUGUGGUUUCUACUCCUGCCCAUGUGUCUCUGGUCCUCUGCCCCAGCCCUGUCAGUGGGAGAGUCCACUCCUACAAUCAGAGGAAAGGAAGGAGUGGUGUGGACAGGGGGUCCAAACCCCCAGCUGUAUGUCUUAUUCCAAUGUGACUAGUUCUGCGCUUCCUUGCGAAUGAAUCACUGAUCAACCUAAUGCAGGAGACAAAGACCUGUGGCCUGCAAUUAAAGCCCUCAUUUCAAUCCCUACUUAUUUUCUAGGAAGGCAAUAUGAAAUAAUAGGUAAAAGCACAUUUCACGAGUCUGCUAUUUAUACACUGUGUGCCUUCCAGAAUAUGACAGCCUUUCUAAGCCAAUGGGACCCAGGGACAAGGCUGUGCGUGUAGAGGCUUAUCAGCACGGUACCUUCCUUGCUCAGACAAUUUGUAGCCACCGGGGAUUAAUACGACUCAUUCAGUUAGCUGUGAAUCUAACUCAUCAAAUUAUCAUGUAGUCCACACUUUCCACGAGGAGCCCACACCUGUGUAGGAAAUACUCUUGUUGGAAUUGAAAUGCACCAUAUCUGCAAUUUUUGACUGGUCUACCAAAAAGCAAGUCUUGAAAGAGGAAGUAAAGUGAGGCCAGCACGACCUGGACCGCUGCAAGCUCCUCGCUGCCUGUGGCUGAGCUCUCUUUCCCAAACGUUCGUGAAGGGUGUGUUUAAUAAUGGAGUUCUGAAUGCUAUAUCCAUUGCCUUCUAGCUUUUAGAACCCACAUUUCUCUCAUUUUUGAAAACUGGAAUAACAUAUUCCUGUCUCCAAUUCCCUGGCCUUGCUCCCAGUCUCUGAUUUCUCUACGACUGCUGACAGUGGUUUUGUAAUCACAUCUGCAAACCCUUUCUAUAUUCUAGAAUUUAAUCCAACUUGAACUCAUUAAGUGUCUAGUUCCCUUUUAUUGUCUCUUGUGCUAUUUCAGGCUUCACUUUUCUCUUUAAAAGCAUGUUUCCUUAAAUAUUACAUAUUAUACGUAAUAUACACGUUCAUCUGAAGAUUUCACAAAUAUGGUUAAGCAAAAUGAUGAGGCCAGAAAUCAUCAGUAAUCCUAGCACGCGAAGAUGAUAAUGGUGCUUCCAGAUCUGCAAUGCUACCUUCUCUGUGUUUCUUAGGAGAAAUAGAUACACAUGCUGCUGGGUAAAUAAAGCAUGAAGGUUUCCCAAACAAUUCUUUUUCUACAACCUUAUUUUUAAUGUUAGCAUAGGGCUUCAGUAUAGUUAAUAUGAAAUAAUUCAUUUGAGCAUUUUGGCUUUUCAGCUACUUGCUAUGUUACCAAUGCCACAGUCACAGCUUUGGUAAAAGGAGGAGGUGCUCAGUAAAUAGUUGCUGAUGCCCUUAAGUAAGGAGGCUCCAGAGGCAUGACGAUGCAGACUUGGGAGUUAGAGACACUGUCCUGAAGCUUACUAUCCCCGUGUUAUAUGGCCGGCCCCAGGCCAAUCUCCAGAUUCAUCAGGGACUCAGUUUUCCUUCAGAGAGCUCUCUCCUGGUAAACGGGGGUGACAGACAGUGGCUCCUGGAAGGAGAUCUUGUGAAGGUUAAAUAUAAAUAUAAUGCUCGUACCACAGUGCUUGGUUCUUAAGGAAUAUCCAAAAAUAAUAGCUAUUGUUGUUAACAUUUUUUGGGUUAUAUGAUUCUGUAUGGUUGAAGGUCUACGUACUUUGAAAGCAAAGAUGUUUUUAGAAGUCAGUGGUUCUCUUCAUUUAAGAAAUUUACAUUUUGAGGGGCGCCUGGGUGGCUCAGUCAGUUAAGUGGCCGACUUCGGCUCAGGUCAUGAUCUCGCGGCCCGUGAGUUCGAGCCCCGCGUCGGGCUCUGUGCUGACCGCUCGGAGCCUGGAGUCUGUUUCGGGUUCUGUGUCUCCCUCUCUCUGACCCUCCCCCGUUCAUUCUCUGUCUCUCUGUCUCAAAAAUAAAUAAACGUUAAAAAAAUUUUUUUAAAAAAAGAAAUUUACAUUUUGAACUCCAUGCGAAGUAAAGGGAAUUCAACAGUGCCGUAUAAAUACGAUCUGCAUAAGCAUUCAUGUUCAAACACUCAUUUCAUAUGGACAGUCACUUCUGCUAUGAUGGGAUGUAUAUACGUUCCUAAAAAUUAUCAUGCUAUGCAAGUAAUCUGAAAAAUACCACAGGGCUCAUGGGACAUGGGGUUAUAGCAGCGCUUCUCUAUCACUCACAAAAUCUCAAAAUCCCAUACAAUUUUACCCCUGUCCUUAGGGGACAAUUAUAAUGUCUGGAAACAUUUUUAGUUGUCACACUGGUGGGCAGUGGUAAAGAGAAGGGGGUAGGGAAAGGCCAGGGAUGUUGGUAAACAUCCUGCAGGGCACAGAACACUUCCCACAGCACAGAAUUACCCAGGCCAGUAUACGAAAGCACCGAGAUUGAGAAACCCUAGGUUAGGGACACAACACUCGAAAAUUUGUCCAGGCCUCAUUAAAGAAAAAAAGGCUAGCUAUUUCAUAAAAACAGUCACACAGCAUAAAGAAAUGGUUAAGAAAUGGUUAAGAAAUGCAUAAAUACCGCGGCAUCGGGUGGCUCAGUGGCUCAGCAUCUGACUCUUGGUUUCGGCUCAGGUCACGAUCUCGCGGUUUCUGGAGUUCGAGCCCCACCUGGGGCUUCCCUCUGACAGGGCAGAGCCAACUCGGGAUUCUCUGUCUCAGUCUCUUCGCCCCUCCCCCAGUCAUGCUGUCUCUGUCUCUCUCAAAAUAAAUAAAUAAAUAAAUAAAUAAAUAAAUAAAUAAAUAAAUAAAUAAACAAACAAACUUAAAAAAAAACUCCAAAGACAUGCAUAAAUACUGCAGUAAAUAUUGCACUUCGCCUUGAAGAAGACCUGGCGUUUGCCUCUGGAAAUGGGCGUUGGAAGGGUUGCGGCCUGUGGGCUACUGCGCAGUGGGUAGAAGCAGCAUUGCGUACAAUGGGACAGACAGUUGUAGCACCAGACGCACAUAGUGUGGCUCAUAACACCCAGGGUGGCCCGAGGUGGAUGCUGAUGUCUGGGGGGAGGGGGGCAGGGAAAUGUAUUUCACCCCAGUCCGGUUCAGCAAGUGGCAGUUUUCCGCCCUCGCCUACUCUUUCCUGGGGGAUGAAAUCAUGCAUAAGCACACAUGCAAUUCAGUUAUGUCCGAAUCGUUCCUUAACGUAUCCGUGGAGUUGGAACAAAUCCACGUUCUCAAAACCGAUUUUAUAGCAGAAUUGACUAUACACACAUAAUUGCCCUUAAAUUGAUUUAACUAAAACUACACCUCACAGCAAGAGUGAUCCUCAAAAGUGUGACAGACUUCAUUACCACAAAGACUUUUAACCUAUAGAAAUUACCAAACAGGAAUGUUCAGAGAAGCAACGAGGACCCUGGUUAAAUAAAAUUCUUUCACAUGCGGUUGUAUAUAGCACAAGACUUUUCCAUGACCUGGCAAGCGGCCUGUGCUAUUUAUAACGAAGCCUACUUUAAAUCCUGUACGAUGCUGAGAUAUUUAAGGGUGAAAUUAUAUAUGUGGGAUUUAUUUGCUUCAAAAUAAUCCAGGUGGGAAGAGUGAGUAGUGGGGCUAAGAGGAGAAAUAAUUGGCCACGAGUUUAUAAAAGAAAUUAGGAGAUGGGAACGCGGGACUUGGUUAUAAGCUUCUCCCUACUUUUGAGCAAUAUGAAGAAAGAGAACAAUAGUUAAUUUAGAAAAUUGUACGCAGUGCCUUUGCAAACAGGUUCAUAUAACUAUUGAUUGUAAAAUGGUGACACUGCUGUUUGUGGGGCUCCCGUGUAGCUAUCGUACUGAAAUAUCAUGUUAAAAAAAAAUGGGAUGUAUGGAAGGUAUUUAAAGCACGCUUCGUUACCAGAGUUCCCAAAGGACCGGCUCUUCUAAGUAGAGUACGAUGAGUAGUAAAAUCAGGUGUCAAAAGGAGAAAAUUAACACUCACAUCCAGGUCAGUGACCAGGGCCAACUACUCAGUGUUGUUUCACAAGCUGAGAAUAGUAAAAGCGUGAACAGUGGAGGUGAGGUUGACCGUGUGAAUCCAGACUGAACAAAGGAGGAUACUGUGGUGGUUAAGAGCUUGGGUGGGCCUCACAGUCUGACCUCGCUGGGGCACAUGAAUCCAAUAACUUUGAGAAGUUUUGUUGCCCUUCAAGUUUAUGAAAACUGGAUACUUGUUAUAAUGAAAAAAAAAAGCACAAGUUUUAAAGAAACAACAACAGGGAUCACCGGAGAUGAUAAAGGCACAUCAGAAUAGACUUGCCGAAGCUCCAAAGCAAUGUUGAGGUACUCUUUGGAGCAUCUGAUGAAAACCAGAAAUAAUUUGCUCAGAAAAACGCACGUAUGAAUUCACACCAACAUUUGCGUGCAACGCCCAGAGAGUCACAGACCCCCGAACAUUCCUUCAGGCACUGGGUUAAGAACCUGGAUUAGGGGCCGGUGCCAACCGUUGGUCUAGAAGCCAGAGAGUGAAGACAAGUUAAAUGCGUUCCUGUCACUGCAGCUGUUCCUCCUGACCUAUUUCUCUUGCCAGAACAGUUUCCUCCACUCUCCCAGUUCUACCCCCUUCUUCAAAGUCCCUCACUUUCCGGACGCCUUCCUCAGCCAGGGCUAUCUGCAGAAUUUCUCCUCUGAACUCAGUACGGAACUUAUCAGUGCUACUAUUUUGGUCCUUAAUCAUAUGCUCUCUUUGGAUGUUUGUCUCUGGAUACCUGUGAGUGUGUGUGUGUGUGUGUGUGUGUGUGACCUAUAUAAGUAGAUUACAAGCAACUUGUGAGCAACACCAUGCAUCACACUUCCUGGUAUAUCCUCCCAGAACCAAUGAUGUACAGAACUAACAAAUAAACAGAUGCCGUAUGUAGCUUGGAAGGAGGCACUCAUGAAAUACUUACCGGACAAAUGAAUAUCUUACUCCUUCCCUCGCUCCUUUCUCUAAUACUUCAAACUUAGCACUGUUUGCUCCUUCUGUCGAGAGCACUCUUUCCCCAGGACUCCCUAGCAAACUCCCAUUUAUGAUUUGAAUCUCAGUUCAGAAUCUUCAGGGAAGUCCUCUGACCUCACUCUACCCCCUUCCUCCCCAGCUCCAUGGCAUCGCCGCUGGAAGAUCUCUGUCAUGUUCCUACAUGCAGCACGCCCCAUAUGGCAACGAUUCCCCAUGGGUGGUCUCCCCCCGCUGCUGGGAAUAGGUGAGGCAUGGUGCCUAUGUAGUACACGGAGGGACACGUUUACUUGCUUAUGCAUUUAUUUUAAUGUGCAUUUGUAACAAUGUAACUAAGACAUCAGACCCACAAUUUCACACUGUGUAUGAUGAGGGUGAGGCUAAGUAAAGAGGAAAAAAAGAGAGAGAGAAAGAGAGAGAGAGAGAAACAGAGAGGAGGUUUAAGGAAAAGUAGUGAGCAAGUGACAACCCGCUUGUUAGGUAUGGUUUUAUGGCAAAAUUUAUGGAGGUGAGGUAUGUUUAUUCAAUGUUUUUGAGCACCAGGCUGGCAUUUGGAAAAGGCAGGUAUGUCAUAACAUCCUGUCUCUGUGUCCAUCUCUCUUCCUAGGAGGCAGCCCCAGGAGGGCGGGGAUGGAACCUAAGGCAGCUCUACACCGUCCAGAGCUGGGGCUCAGGAGUUCUUUGGCUGAAUCGGGUCAAAGAGGACUGAACUAAAAAAUUCUGUCGCAGGGGCGCCUGGGUGGCUCAGUCGGUUGAGCGACCGACUUCGGCUCAGGUCACGAUCUCACAGUCUGUGGGUUUGAGCCCCGCGUCGGGCUCUGUGCUGACAGCUCAGAGCCUGGAGCCUGUUUCAGAUUCUGUGUCUCCCUCUUUCUCUGACCCUCCCCUGUUCAUGCUCUCUCUCUGUGUCAAAAAUAAAUAAAUGUUAAAAAAAAAUUUUAAAAAAAUUUAUAAAAAAAAAAUAUUCUGUCGCAGCACCAGCUUUGCCCUCCUCAAAGCGCUAUUUUGUCUGCUCCCUGGAACAGAGGGAAGGCACAAUGAUAGGCCAGAACACCACAGCUCUUUUUUCUCCCCCCGACAUGUCCCCAAGUAGACCAGACAGACCACUGUAGGAGCCCAUCCUAAUAAAAUCCCACCAGAUGCCUUCGUUUGCUUCAACCUUCUUCCUGCGUUUUCUAGGCAGCAUGAAAGCCUAGUUACGCUUCUGCAAAGAGCUUUCUUAACCAAGGACUCUCAGAGUCUCUUCACCGUGAGCACAAGUUUUACCCACCCGGGCGUUUGCUAACUCCACAGAACAAUUCUUAUUACCUUAGUAAUCAUGAGUUACUGAAAGAGAGGAAACGCAAAACACGAACGCUGCACCAAGGGAAAACUUGGUCAACUGGCACCCACCAGAAAAGCCCGGAGGGUGGGAAUGGAGUGGGGAGGCUUCCUCGGGCUCCUCCCCAGGGGGGCUGCUGCAACUUCCAAGCUGAAGGUCUUUGUGUAAGAGGUGAGGGGUGUGGUGGACCCAGAGACUUGUGGCUGGCUGGCGAACAAAGGAAGGAAAAGGGAAAGGCAAGGGUGCUUCCACUUUUCAAGGUAACAUAGUUGAACGAAUCCAAGAUUGAAUUGGCUGCAAUCACUGGUGAUUCAUUUUGAGAAUAUCACAAAGGGCCUCUUUCCCCCCAGUUUCCGCUGUAGGGAUUUCCCAGGCUAAGAGGGCAGCCCAGUUUGAGUCACCGGGUUGAAGAAACCUAGAAACGGUAACGUGAAACAGAUCAACUACACCCAUAAAGGACUGUCAACCCUGUGCCCGCAAGAAUUCUUUCAACACUAAUUUCUCUAUCAUCAAAUCUGGGUUUUUGUAAGUCUAUUUAUAAUGGGACUCCAGCUUUCUUUCUUUGCUCUGUAUCUUCUCCCUGUGAAUGGUCAGAGGGCCAUCUAAGAAAGAACUGACAAGUUGAAAUUAUCAUCAAUUAUGUUGGCUACGCAUUUCCAGGUAUCACAAUGAAGAGCUUUCCUUCUUUUUGGGGUGUGGCCAGGUAUCUCUAAUAGAGAGAUUUCACAGGACCUCAAUAUCAUUUCAUGUCUGUUCGACUGAAAAUAACAGCAUUUUUGAGUGCCGAGUGCAUUCUAGGCACUUAACAUUCAUUAUGUCCUUGAUUUCUCACAAGAAUCCCAUCAGAAAGGCAAUAUUUCAUUACUGAAUUGUCAAGAAAAGCUAAGGUCUAGAAAAGCUAAAUAAAUGAUUGGUCCACCAUCACCUAGAAAAUAAGUGGCAAAGCCAAGACAGAACCUCCGCUUUUACCUGUUCCCAAUUUUAUGUCUUCCCAUAAUGUCUUCUGAUGCCCUUCUAGAAACUCUAUAAAGACAGGACUUAACAAAAGCAAAAAGGAAUGUGAUUUAGUACGACAGUCAAGUAAAGUGUGACUCAUCACAAAUGUCCAUAACAUGACAUAUCUCUUGCUAUGAAAUAAUUCAACAACCUCACUCCGUUCGUGCAUACGUGCCAGUCAGCCCCCAUAAAUCCCCUGGGGCAUGUGCCCUAAUGUUCCCUAUUCAUCCCCCCGUCUGAUACCUUGCAACCACACGCGGACAUCACAAUAUUUAUUUUGUUAAUGGGUGGGAACAGAAGAAGUGGCCAUUUAUGGGGCAUGCGUUUUUUUUUUUUAAAUGAUUCCAUUCCUGGCAUUUGUGAACACCAAAAGCCCAGCGUUCAGCUCAUUUCCCUGAGGAUUCGAGGUUCUGAAAAGAAUGUUUUGGGAGACUGGGGACUCUUGUCGUUUCUACUUCUAGGAGUAUCUUCUCUCACUAUGAACUCAUUGAACAACCAGAGUCAGUAUAGGUGGCGAGAGAGCGAAAGAGCAGACAUCUCUUGAAGGCGCAGAAGAUGACAGAGACUAAGGGGAAGGCCAAUAUUCUCGGCCAGUGUUCAUGACUCUUUGCCACACCCAAAUCUGGUCGCCAUGAUAUGCCAUCCGCGGUAUUCACGCCAUGCCAUUGCUUUUGUUUUCUGAGUAUGGGUUUCAAUGCUUAGUGGUAACCCACAGGGUAUCAUCUUCUCAUUGCAUCUGGUGCCAUCUUCUCACCAACAGCCUCCUUAUUCGUGGACUGUGUCAAAUUCACUGCUCACUUUAGCAGUGAUCAAAAUCAAGCAUCAGGGCCUCACAGCUCCUAACUGACUCAGAGUUCCAGGAUCCGAGGCAAGCCCCACGCUGUCUCCUCACGAGUCCCAGUCACAUCUGUCAGGGUUGCUCUGUUGGAAAGAGCUCUGCCCGUAAACUUUUAACUGUGCGAUGUGCGGCCACACAGGCACUUCCAGUCCCACUUAUCCCCAGGCCAAAUAUCGGGGUAACGACUGCCCUUUGGUGAUGAUGUCCAGACCCUCUGAGGCCCGUUCUCACACUCGGCAGCAUUCUGUAGUAUGCUGGAAAAAACUGGAGCUGGACAAGCUUAUAAAAAACAAGGAAUGUGCCUCCUCCUUAAAGAACCCAUCACUCAGCAUACUCUCCCUGGGAGGUUUGCAUUCUUUAGAGUCCCCAACUUGCCAUGCAUAAUCCUGGGCCCGUAGCUUCUGUUUGAGUUGAACUGAAUCAAGAUAGGAAGGACACACACUGUUACGAUUCCCAUUUGCAGAUGGUGAAACUAAGACCGAUAGGUUCAAAUCAUUUGACUGGUGUUACAAACCUAACUGAACAUAUAACGAUCAGGCUGGCACCAGAUGCAAUUCAAACGUUAAAUAAGGAUUGUUUUAGUGGUCAUCGGAGGUAUACUUUUGGGGGGUGGACAAAGGUGAAUGCUGCAUACCUAAUGCAUCAGAAGCAGCAAAUGAAAGGGGGUGGGGUGACAACAGGGGGUGAGAAGGAGCUGUGGUAAGGCCCUCACAGUCAUGAACUAUUAAUGGCCAAGAAAGGGAAAGUUGUUUUUGCCACACGUGGUUGAAUAUGAGCUUUUCAGGGUGUGUGCUCACACCGUCGACUAACUGUGGGGAACUCAGAGGAAAAGACUUACGUUUCUCUUUGCCUUGGUUUCCUCAUUUCCUUAAAGUACAAACAAUACCACCUACCUCACAAGGUUGUUGUACGGAAGAAAUUAGAUAAUCUAGAUCAAGGUUUCUCAAUAGUGGCAUUAUUGAUGUCUGCAGCAGGAAAAUCCUCUGUUGGCCAAGGCAGUGCGGCUGCCCUGUGCAGUGGGGCAUGUUCAGCAGCCACACUGGCCCCCUGGCCCCCUACUAGAUGCCAAUACUGUAUCCCUCACCCUCAGUCAUGACAAUCAGAAACAUCUCCAGACAUUGCCAGAUGUCCCUAGAGAGGCAAAACUGCCCCCGGUUAAGAACCACAGAUUUAGCAGCGCCUGGGUGGCUCAGCCCAUUGAGCAUUGACUUCAGGUCAUGAUCUCGCGGUUCAUGAGUUGUAGCCCCACUCUGGGCUCUGUGCUGACAACUCAAAGUCUGGAGCCUGCUCCGGAUUCUGUGUCUCCCUCUCUCUGCCUCUACUCUGCUUGCACUCUGUCUCCCUCUCUCCAAAAUAAAUAAACAUUAAAAAAAAAAAAAAAGAAGAAGAAGAACCACUGAUCUAGAUAAAGUGUAGGGGUACGGCACACAUUUAAUAAAUCUUAUUAAUGAAUGUCCACCCUCCUACCUACUUUUCUUCCUGAGAUGUCUCUUCUGUGACCCCUCCCAAAUAUCUCCAGGUCUUCUGUUUCAAUAUUCGCAUUUAAAACAAUCUCUGGGGGAAGGGACGUGACAAAUGCAUUUACUUUGGGAGUGUUUUCAUUUCAAUCUGGGUAGAGCAACCUGAACCAAGGACACCACGUCAAAUGAGUUAAGUGUAAGCACUAGUGACCUGAGUGAGACCAGUAUUUCAGGGAAGUUUCCUUCCUGCCUUCUCAGAAGACAGUUUAUGCAAAGGGUUAUAUAUGUUGCCCACUUGUAAGAUACGAAUUAAUGGCUCCCAAAUGGUUCUGUGGAACUUCAGUUCUAAGUGGAUGGGAAUAAACCACAUAAUUAGAAAGUUCUGCGGUACAUGAACUUAAGAAAUUUUGGGUAGACCAAGAUUAAACAGAUCUCUUUACUUCUCGGGUCUUCUCGGGGUCUUUAACGUGCUGCUAUGCGCCAUAAUUACUCAUGAAGAGAUAUGUUUUGUAGCUUUUUUGAAACUCAUUUUUAUAUGGCACCAAUUUUUGUAGGUCAGGAGUCAGCAGACUAUAGCUGUGGGUCAAAUCUGGUCUACUGGCUAUUUUUAUAAGUAAAAUUUUAUUGGAAUACAGCCAACCUCAUUCAUUUACAUAUUCUCUAUGACUACUUUCACACUACAAUGGCAAUUUGAGUAGUGACAGAGACCGUAAGCCUAAAUUCUUCACUACCUGGCUUUGAAAAGAAGAAGUCGGUUAACCCCUUUUAUAGCCUGAAUGGUUUGUGAAAAACACUGCUUUGAAGAACCUCAGUGUUAGAGAGGAUUUAAAAGGUUACUGCUGCUUGUGGCAGUGUGACUUCACGGUGGCCAGCUCCUUCAACAUCAUCUGGGGAGCUUGUUAAGAAUGCGGAUUCUGGGCAUCCUGUCCUGACCCACCGAACUAGACGUCUAGGGGCAAAGUCCAGGAACCGAAGUUCAAUCAAAUCACCCACCAAUUCUUACGCACAACUGAGUGCUGCUGAUCUAACCUGAUUGCCACCCGGGUAACCGAAUCUCUCCUCAAGUGUCUUUGGCCUCCUUCCUACCUCGAAGGGUGGGGAACUCACUACCUUCCCCAAAGCCCAUUCUGUUCUUAGGCUGGGAAAAUGAUCAGAACGUUCUAUGUGCUGAAUAUAUAUAAGUCCUCUAGGAAGCCCACCCAUUGGCUUUCAUUUCCCUCCACUCCCACUUACAACUGUGGAGUGCAUGGAAGCAAGAAGGCAAAGGGCAAAGUUACCCAGAAAACCUACGUUUAUAAUUCCCUGGAUCUAGUAUUCCUCAGGAAGCCUUCUCUAGCUGCUCCACAUCCUGCCCUGUCCAGUGCGUUCAAAAAGCAUUGGAGGUUCCUCUGUGCAAUCUCCACGUGUCUGUGAUCCGGUAUUGUAGUGAAAGGUCCAGAUAUGUGACCAACUCAAAUAAACCUGAAGCCCGAGCCCAGUCUAUCACUCCAUAGCUGUGGGGCCUUGGGCAACCGACUUUGCCUUAGAUCUUCAUUUCCUUCUCUGUAAAAAGGGUGUGAUUAUAGCACCUACCUGGGGAUGGUUUUGAGGCUUUGAUAUUACAGGUACAACAGGGCUUAGCUCAGAACUGGUUUAUAGUAAAUGCUCGGUGUCAUCAAGGAGGGGAUGAGGUUGGUAUGUCCCUGGGUGGACGAUGACUUUCUCUAGGGAAGGGACCGUCCAUAACUUACCAUCCUUUGAAUGCCAGUGUGUAUCAUAUAAUAAAAAAGAAAGACUGAAGAGGGCAGAUAAAACAGUGGCCAAGAACAAUGAGAAUGAAAGAGCUGCCUAGUUUCAAAUCCCUUUACCACCUGUUGCCUCAUGUGUGGUCUGGAGGAAAGAGCUUGAUUUCUCUAUGUUUUAGUCUACUCCUGAGUGAAAGCACUACCUAGAGUGGUUGGGAAUGUUAAAUAAGAUAAUGCAGGCAAAGGACUUAGCACAUAACAAAAGUUCAGCAAGGGCUAUAAUUAUUAUUGCUAACACCAUUGUUAUUAAUAGUGUCCCCUCAGCAUGCGCCGGUGGGUGCUUAGAUAAGAGGCUUGCCUAGAAAACAUGUGUGUGCUCCUGAAGAGGUCUUGGCUCUUUUUUUUUCUACUUCUUAUCCUUAGAUCCCUUGGGAAGUACAUAGGCGGGGAGACAGCUUAAAUUUGGGACUAGGCUAACAGAGGCCCAGGCAAAUCCAUCCUAGAUUUAUAUACAGAGUAAAUCCUGUGGCUACACUAGGCUGUGCACAGUUAACAUUUCCCUCGGUGCCGUAAACCAGACGCCCCUCUCCUCCCCAACUGUUUGUAGCAUAUUAGGUGCAGAUUUCACUAAACUCCUAAACAAGGAAAUGACAGUACCCAAAGGAGAUGGAAGAAUGUCUUGUGUCCAAACCAAAUAAAGGAGAGACCAUAAAUACCAGGGCUCUGAGACAUCAACAUUCAUUCUCAGAAGGCCCUUCUUUCUGCUAAACCUGACUCUUUCAUCCCCCAGAGCCUUGCCCUUGCGUACCUCCCUCCGAGUUGAGGCUAAUGGCCAAAUAUGAGCACCUGGAGUUUUUAUCACACCUGCUUCUAAAGAGGUCAACAAAGUUGGAUAUUGAAUGUCCUACUGUCUGCUUUAUGAGCUGAACAUUGUAUUAGGCUCUGGGGGCAAAAGACAGACACACACAAUUCUUGCCCUUCUGGAGCUCAUAGUCCAGUCAAGGAUACAGACGUUAACCAAAGAAUUUGUGGUUUGCACAGUGAUGCAAGCAGAAGGAACAGGGCAAAGGCCCUGUGGCAGGAAGGAAGAAGGCAUGUCAGAGGAACGAGAGGGGGCCUGCUUGAUUAUAGGAGCAAACGGCAUGGUACAAAAUGAAGCUGGAGAAGAGAGGGAGGUCAGACCACAGCAACACGUAGCCGCUCUAACAAAUGCGGUCUUUCUGUGCCAAAAAGAACAAGAAGAAGCCACUGAAAUAUCAUAAGCAGUAGAUUGAUGGGAUUUGCAUUUCAAAAAGAUCAGAAGAGUACUAGAUUGAACAGAUCCAUUAGGAAGCACGAGAUGGGUGCUGACACUGGCCAGUGCUGAUAGACAGCAAAGGGGAAGACAGGCAGGACGGACCCAAGAGGUGGAACUGAGAUGAGGAAACAAUACCUUAGAUCGCAAACUAGGAAAUGUAUAGCUCCAUUCUCCUGAAAAAAAAUAAUAACACGGGGAUUUAUAAGCCUUCAAAAGUAGAAAAGGAAAGGCGAUUCAGUCUUAUUGGGCAACACUAAUGAUAUUUACAAAUCUAUCCUGCUCCAUUACAAACUUUAAAAACUCUAUGCAUGAUUUUGAUAAGGGUGCCAAGACCAUUCAGUGGGGGAAAGAACAGUCUUUAGAAUGAAUGGUGCUAGGAAAACUGGACAGCUACAUGCAAGAGAAGGAAAUUGCACCCUUACAUAAGACCAAAUACAAGUAUUAACUCAAAAUGGAUCAAAGCCCCAAAUGGAAGAGCUGAAACUACAAACUCUUAGAAGAAAACAAAAGGCAAAAAUCUUCACAACAUUGGAUUUGGCAAUGAUUCCUCGGAUAGGACACUGAAGGAACAGCCAAAAAUAUGGACAAAUUUGACUUAGUGAAAAUUAGAUAAUUGUGCCCAUCAAAAGACACUGUCAACAGAAUAAAUACGCAAUCCACGGAAUAGGAGAAAUAUUGGCAAAUCACAUAUUUGAUAAAAGAUUAAUAUGCAAAAUGUGUAGAGAACUCCUAAAACUCAACAACAAAAAUGAUUUAAAAAUGGGCAAAGGACUUGAAUACUCGCUGCUCCAAAGAGCUACAAAUGGCCCACAAGUACAUGAACAGAUGUUCAAUAUCACUAAUCGUUAGAGAAAUGCAAACUGAAACUCCAGGGAGAUGCCACCUCGCAGCCAUCAGGAAGGCCGCCUCCCCAAAAAUCAGAAAAUAAUGUGCUGCUGAGGACAAAGAGGAGUUGGAACCCUGGUGCCCUGUUGGUGGGAAUGUAAAUGCAGCCACUGUGGAAAACAGUACAGCAUUGCCUCAAAAAAUCAAAAGUGGCCCACCAUAUGAUCCACCAAUUCUACUUCUGGUUAUAUACCCAAAAGAAUUGAAAGCAGAGUUUUGAAGGCGUAUUUGUUUUUUUUUUUUUUUUAAUUUUUUUUUCAACGUUUUUUAUUUAUUUUUGGGACAGAGAGAGACAGAGCAUGAAUGGGGGAGGGGCAGAGAGAGAGGGAGACACAGAAUCGGAAACAGGCUCCAGGCUCCGAGCCAUCAGCCCAGAGCCUGACGCGGGGCUCGAACUCACGGACCGCGAGAUCGUGACCUGGCUGAAAUCGGACGCUCAACCGACUGCGCCACCCAGGCGCCCCUUGAAGGCGUAUUUGUACACCAAUGUUCACAGCAGCAUUAUUCAUAAGAGCUAAAAUAUGGAAUCAAGCCACUGUCCACUGACAGAGGAGUAGAUAAACGAAACGUGGUUUAUCUCUACAACUGAAUGUCAUUUAGUCCUAAGGACGAACGAAAUUCUGACACAGGUUACAACGUGGAGACAACUUGGGGGACAUUAUUCUCAACGAAAUAUAGUAUUCACCAAAAGACAAAUACUGUGUGGUUCCACUUCGAAGAGGUACUUAGAAUCAUCAAAAUCAUAGAACCAAGAAAGCAGAAAGGUGGUUGCAAAGGCCUGGGGUUGAAGGGGAGACAGAGUGUUAUUGUUCAGUGAGCACAGAGAUUCAGUUUCACGAAACGAACAGAGUUCUAGAGAUGGGUGGUGGUGAUGGCAGCACAAUAUUGUGAAUGUAUUGAAUACCACUGAACUUUGUACUUAAAAAUGGAUAAAAUGGUAAAUUUUAUGUUAGGCAAAAAUCAGGGGGAAAACUGGCACAAAUUCAAGGAUUCACUGUGAAGGGCACAAAUGCAGCUUCACAGCGUAUGCUCCGGUUAGUUGCAAUAUGUAAUUCCAUAAUCAACAUUCCAAGUUAGAAAUAAAACUAUUUAUAGCAAUAUAGAUCACUUUACACUUAGCAUCGGAGUCAGAAGAGAGUGGGUUCAAAUCCCAGCUCAGUCACUUCCUGGAAAUUGACUAGUAAUAUCUCCGUCCUGACCCUCAGUUUUCUCAUCAGUCCAAUGGAAAGGAUGAACCCUGCCUCGUAGGGUUAUUAUGAGGCUUGAAGGAUAUGACAUAAGGAUUAAAUGUGGAUCAUGUGUAUACACUGCCUAGUCCUGAGCUAGUUAUAUAUAUAUAUGUCCAUAUAUAUAUAUUUUAGCUCUUGUCUCCAUCGAUGACACACUGCCUGGCAGGAACAGACACAACAGGAAGAAUGAAGGUUGAUUUCUUUCAAGACAGGAAAGUCGUACCAUGUCUCCAUCCUUCAACAGGGGCUGGUGGAUUUAGUUAGAAUCAUAGUAGAGAAACCUCUUAGAAGUAAAAGGGUAGGGCAGUUUCAAACAUUUUCAGAUCACAAAGAAAUACAUUAUAGGCUCUGAGCCAGUUACAAACUCUGCUGUUUUCCAUUUGAUCUGAUUGUAUUUCAUUUAAAAAAAAAAAACAACAACAAUCUGGUCACGACUCAACCAAAGUGAGGUGUUUUUUUUGUUUUGUUUUUUGGGUUUUUUUUUUUGACCCUGGGGUCAUGACUCACAGUUUGAAAAACACCUGGUUAGGGAAUUCACAGUGUGCGUCCUUCCGGGAAGCCUUCCUGGAACACCCUCACCCUGUGGAGGCUGUUCCCACACUUGAAUUUCCUUGGCUUCAAUGAUUCCAGGCUAUGCCUCACCAUUUAUUCAUAAUGCUUCUCUUGCUUCCCUAGAUAGACUCCCCGUGGGUGUAGCCUUCCAAAUCGACCCUCCUAGCCUCCUCCAUUACUUCAUAUCCAGGAGACCUAAUUUAAGAAGCUGGGACAGUUUAAUGUAUAUUGAAGGUAGCACAGGUAGGGGCAGAUGGCCAGGAGACUAGCAUCUGGUCCAGUUAACCUGCUCUGGCCAAGCACUGGCUCUGUGCCUUGCACUGCGCAAAGCUCAGGAAGAGGACGGCUUUCUUCCAGAUUCCCAGGGCCCUCGAGGCUAGGCAUGUGCUCAGAUUGUGGGAACAGAGCACACAAGCUUCAGCGUAAAGCCUCGGAGGGCUCCUGAACAGGGACACCUGGCACGAUGAGACCUUUGCCCUGUGCAGAAACAGCUUCCUUAGCAAUAAACAGAGCAAGACUCCGUCGCCUGAAGGCAGGGCAAUGGCGCAGAUGGCCUUGCGGGGCCUCAGCUUUGGGAAAUAACCGUUUGCACUGGAAGCUCCCCCUCCCGUGUGAAACGCACGGAGAAGGGCAACUCUGCGCAGGCGCUUCCUUCCAGCAGGCUGGGAAAAGGAGCUGCUCUGAUUUCUGCUUGACUGUUUAGGCUCGGGAUGGACGCUCAAGACCGAAGCAGCUGAGAAACCAUCCCGUCGCCGAAUUGACUGCAGCCCCACUAGCGUGGAGAACAGCGUGGCUGUUGAAGAGGCAGACAGCUGUGGAUUUCCAAAUUGCCUCCCCCACUUCCAAGCCGUUUGACAAUGAAGAUAUAUAUAUAUAUAUAUAUAUAUAUAUAUAUAUAUGUAUAUAUACAUGUAUUUUUAUAUAUAUGUAAUAUACAUGUAUAUUUACAUAUAUAUAUAUAUAUAUAUACAUAUAUUUUUUUUUUACGUCUCUGAGCUUCUCUUUCCACACUGUAAAAUGGACUAAUAAUAAUGCUCUAGAAUAGGGCUGUCAGGAGCAUGAAAUGAGACUCAUAUACGUAAAGCCCCUCAUAUAGUCCCAGGCACAUUGUAAAUCUUUAGUAAAUGGGAGCCAGAGUUAUUAUUUUUCAACACUCCAUACAGCAUAAUUGAGGGGGAAAAAGGCAGUCACCUGAAACAGCUCUUCCUCCUUUCAGCCAAAAGGACAUAUUUUCCUAGUGAGAAAACGUGGAUGCUGGCCCCCCCCCCAAUGCUCCUGGAACAGCAAGAGAUUUUAUCUCGGGAGCCUCUGUGUGAUGCUAAUGUACAAACAUGACUUAGCUGAUGAUCACUUGUGAGCAUUGCAGAUAGAAGGAUGCCUCUGGCAUUGGCCACCUGUCCCGUGGGGGGACCUCCCAGGCUCAGGAGACUUCAGCCAGCCUCUGAGCUUUUCAGAAGCAGGUUUUAGUAGAUACUCUUUGGAGGCCUCCCCGCUCCUCCCCUGGUUUUCCCCACACCUGUCAGAAACCCGACUCCCUCCUCUGGGAAAACACACCCCUGGCCUGCUCCCUGUACUGACUCCCAAGGGCCUUCAUCCUCCGGUGAAACUGUCCCUGAGGACUCCAGCCUCUAUCAACCCUUCUUUUCGUUGAGGUCUUACAGUGAAAAUCUAGCAUCUAGAGCAAUGCUGUCUCACAAGAAUAGAAUGUGAAAAUAGAAUUUUACAUUUUUUAGGAGUAACAUUAAAGAAAUUAAAAAACAAUAAGGUGAAAUUGACUUUAAGAAAAUAUUUUGAAGUCUGCUGCGUGUUUCACGUUUACAGCAUAUUUCAGUUUGGACUAGCCACCUUUUGUGCGCUUCGUAGCCAUGUGCAACAAGGAGAUUUUGAAGACUGAAUGCUCCCCUCAGAAAAAAAGUAAAAUAUUUCGUUAAUAUUUUUUCAUAUUGAUUACAUGUUGCAAUGAUAAUAUUUUGGAUAAAGUGAGCUAGAUAAAAUAUAUUAUUUCCAUUGGACACUCCUUGGCUCUUUUUUUUUAAGAUUUUAAAAAGUUUAUUCAUUUUUGAGAGAGCAUAAGUCGGAUAAGGGCAGAAAGAGAGAGGGAGACACAGAAUCUGAAGCAGAGGCUCAAGACUCUGAGCCGUCAGCGUGGACCCCAACACAAGGCUCGAACUCACCAACCGUGAGAUGGCCUGAGCAUUCCACAAGCCCCCACUCCCUGGCCCUUAAGGGCCACUUCCGGCUCCUUUUACUAGAAAGCAAAGGCUUUCCCCCACCCCCUUGUACCAUGUACUUCCCACACCUGGGUCUGCCCCCAAGCCGACAAGUGGACAGAGAGAAAGAAAAAAUGCACAUUUACCCACCCCCAACUCUUCAAACGUAGUUCCUCUGGUCAGAGAGAAGGUUGGGGAGCCUGCCUAAACUCUGCUGCUGUUGCCACUGACCAGGACUACAGCUGACAGGUCUGAAGCUUGCCCACGGGCCGGAGGAGAAGGGGGAAGAAAAAACAAAAGAAAAGACAUAGAUUGCCCCCACUCUCUCUGAUCCUUAGGGUCCCAUUUACAUUCCUUGGACUAGAAGCAGGGGCUCUUCUUGGGGUUCUUUCUCCCUGUAACCACAUGCUGUUUCAGGAUUCAUAUUGCCCUUGAGCCCGGACCAGAAAAGGUGGGAGUAAAAACCUAGGAAAUUCAUGGUCUCAAUUUUACUUAGAGUUCUGGCUUCUUUUUUUUUUUAUUUUUAAUUUUUUUUUUCAACUCUUAUUUAUUUUUGGGACAGAGAGAGACAGAGCAUGAACGGGGGAGGGGCAGAGAGAGAGGGAGACACAGAAUCGGAAACAGGCUCCAGGCUCUGAGCCAUCAGCCCAGAGCCCGACGCGGGGCUCGAACUCACGGACCGUGAGAUCGUGACCUGGCUGAAGUCGGACGCUCAACCGACUGCGCCACCCAGGCGCCCCAGUUCUGGCUUCUUUUUCUAAUCCACCUGCUACCACUUACUUUUCAGAUUCCUCAGAUAGAAGCUGUGUGCAUUUUGUCUAGGGUUUUUUGCCUGCAUUCAGUGGGAAAAAUAAGGUAGAGUGUGUUUAUGUCAUUUUAACAAGAUCCAGAAUCCUCAAGAAACAUGUGUUGCAGUGUGUUGUAUUGCAUUCAGUCUCUAUGACACUUGAUCAUACACAAAUGGCAUCUAUAGAAACUUAGAUUGGAUUAAUUAGGAUAUCAUAUUCUAGACCAUGCCAAGUAUCCACUAUACUCACACACUUAGAAUGGAACAGACUGCUUUUUGCAUUGAGAACAAACACAAAGGGAUUUCAACACUUGUCCUUGAGUCAGGAAUGAAUGAAGGAUAAUCGGUGACUUUUUUCUUUGUGAAAAGUUUAAACAUCUAUUACCCCACAUUACUGACUGUCACAUAUGUGUUUAGUUAGAGACUGUAUAUUACCUCCAUGUUUUCAGACCACAGUUUUGUAAACAUCUGACUUGAUAAGGCAGCUGUUUUAUUUAUUUGGAAUCUCUGAUCAUCACUCAUAGUAGCCUUAAACUUCCUUUUAUGGUAGACAAUAGAGUUUGGAAUUAAGUAAUUAGGCAUGUAUUGCCGAGAAGAAGGACAUCCAUUUAUAUGGAUCAACUAAUUUCCCAAAGUAUUGUCCACUUAACCAAAAAGGAAGUGAUCCACACCUCUAAAAAUCAUUAGAGGGCCAGUCAUUACUUCGGACACAUGACGUGCUCACAUACUCACACAGAACUGAUAAUGCACUGAUAAGGCGAGCCAAAUUCCAGAAAAUGUUGUGAAAUAAUUGGGUGGUUAAGAACAUCACAAAACGGCAGAGUUAUUGGAAAUGAUAUCGUGGAUAUCUGCAUAGUAAUAUGUACAGCACAAAAUGUUUUUAUUUAGUUGGUUAUUCCUUCUUGUAGCCAUCAUUUAUUAAGUGUCUAUGAUGUGUCAUCUGUUUCCUAGACCCUCUCGUAUGCAUAAUUUGUGAGUAACCCCAGGUAUGUUCUGCUUAAACCAAACCUUACACAUAAAGUCUGAACUGACAGAACAGGUAUACAGAGAAGUAUAUAAAGAUAAGUUAUUGAGUUCUUAAAACAACAAACUUCAAAUUCUUUCCAUUUACACGUAUUAAAGCUACACACAUUUUGGGGGACUAGAGACUAAGUAUAAGGGGCAAAAGCCAGGGCUUUGGAAUCAGAAGCACCUAGAUUCAAAUCCUUAAAAUUAGUUUAAACCUCGACCUAGUCAUCUCUGACUUUCAUGAGAUAACAGUAUCUAUGUCAAAGGAUUGUGGUCAAGUGUGUAUGAUAUAAUGCAGCUCAAGUUCAUAGCACAAACAAACAUGUGGUAAGCUCCCAAUAUCUGUUUAACUACUAUAUAAACUAUAAAGUUUAUUUGUAUGAUAUAUAAAGCAAAUUAUUUAUCAAUGGUUUAUAUAUAUAUAUAUUUUUUUCAAAUAUAUGAAUUAGUUCUAUUACCUAUAAGUUUAGAAGAAUGAUUACAUGUAGAAAUAAGACAGGGAAUAUGCCGGAAUAAAAUACUUUAAUUUUCAUGUUUUCACAACUCCUGUCCUCUAAAUGAUAUCAAUUUAAUACUUAUCUCAUUUUCUUGGGCUAUUUUUAUGUUUCUCACUUACUAAGCAACCAUAGGGUAUGUUUGAGGAUCUACGGAACCCACGUGAGACAUCAUCCUUGCUCUCUUGGAGUUCACUUGCUAAAAAGACAAGAGGUACUUGAAAAGGUAAAUCUUUUGGAAUGAGGAUUAUUUGUGUUGCUAAACUUUGUGCGGGGGAAAGAAGGCAAGUUCACUCACUCUUCUCUUUAUGUUUCCCUCACUGGGUGGUGGCUUUAAUAAGAUAAGAAUACUUAAAUGGUUAUUUUCUUGUGCUUUCAAGUGGGGGUUGAGUCUUUGAGUGGAGUGAGCAGAAUACAGAGAUGAUUGCACACUGAGAUAGUCUAGGAAGUCGAGAAUCAUUUAAACAGUAAUAUAAUUUGUUAAGUACCUCCUGGGGCCUAGGCUCUUUGCUAGAUGUUUUCACACUUAACCCACACCAUAAGGAUGCGGUAUUACCUCCAUUCCAUUUCUGUGGUCGGUGAAUCUUAGAAAUGCUUAGUAACAUGUGCAAAGUAAAGGAAGCAAAGCCCAGUGUAAACCCAGGAGGGUCUGGGUUUUUUUUGUUGUUGUUGUUGUUUUGUUUUGAUAUCAGUCCUUAGCUCAAGUCAAGAAUAGGUAAUGCCUUAAAAUGCAGAUGUCUGUUCCUCUUGAAUACCUUCCCUUAUCCUUUCUUCAAUGGGUACAAUUCUAAUGAUUAAUGUGCGACGCUGGGACCCUACCCGGCUCACUUCUGUCUGUGUCGGACGUUGCUUAAUUAAUCACAGGGCUUUUGUCCACAGAAACUGGACUUCACUUCAGAAUCCUUCUGAACACAGCAUCCCAAAGCAGUCAAUCUCAACCAACUGACCAAAAUUAAUACUAAAAAUCUGUUUGAUGUGUCUCCCAUGACACCCUGCUAAUGACUUUACUAAUAGCACAUAUAAGACUACGUUUAAAUCAUUCGCUUCCCUUUUAGUUUUAAUCGUAAGGCUUCGGUGACAGGUCCAUUCAUCUUCCCAAAUCUAGCCCCUGUCCACAGUCUGCCACAUAACACAAUAGGCACCAAGUAGAAGUUUUGUUGGAUCCAAUGUAAGAAAAUACUUUCUGUUUAAACCUCUAGGACUACUAGGGGCGCCUGGGUGGCUCAGUCGGUUGAGUGUCCGACUUCGGCUCAGGUCAUGAUCUCGUGGUUCGUGAGUUCGAGCCCCGCACCGGGCUCUGUGCUAACAGCUCGGAGCCUGGAGCCUACUUCAGAUUCUGUGUCUCCCUCUCUCUGUGGCCCUUCCCCCCUGUCUCUCUGUCUUUCUCUCUCUCUCUGUCUGUCUCUGUCUCUCUCUCUCAAAAAUAAAUAGGGGCGCCUGGGUGGCGCAGUCGGUUAAGCGUCCGACUUCAGCCAGGUCACGAUCUCGCGGUCUGUGAGUUCGAGCCCCGCGUCGGGCUCUGGGCUGAUGGCCCAGAGCCUGGAGCCUGUUUCCGAUUCUGUGUCUCCCUCUCUCUCUGCCCCUCCCCUGUUCAUGCUCUGUCUCUCUCUGUCCCAAAAAUAAAUAAACGUUGCAAAAAAAAAAAAAUUAAAAAAAUAAAUAAAUAAAUAAACAUUAAAAAAACAAACAAACAAACAAACCUCUGACUACCAAAAUGCUGAACAUGUUAUUGGCUAAUAAUUAGAAUUGCUAACAUUUAUCAAGAAUUUAUUAUUUGCCACAGAUGGAACUAAGUACUUCACAUAUAUUAAUUUUUAAAUAGUGUUUAAACAAGGAUUCCAUGAGAUAGUUACAUUAUCCCCAUUUUAUAAAUAGUGAUCCUCCAGGUCAGAGGGCUUAAAUGAUUUGCACCAGGUCACAGGCCCAAACCCACAUGUUCUGACCCCCAAACCAAACACUUAACCACUACACUGGUUACAGCAAAAGCCCAUAUAGGAUAUAAUUUUCCAUCAUACUCUUAACCACUACACUGGUUACAAAGCCCAUAUAGGAUAUAAUUUUCCAUCUCAUGGCAUAUUUAUAUAACUGUAUUGCUGCCCAUUACUGGCCUUCCAGAACUCAGCCAGGUGGUCCCUGAGCUUUAUUUCAAAAUUUUGCCAGAAAAUUAACAUCUUUCCCUGCUCUUCAUUGGGUUCCUCCCGCCAAAACAACAACAAUCCCCCCAAACUUGUGAAUUAACCGACGAGAAAUAGAUUAAGGUCCCGGAGAAGUCUCUCCCUCCUUUUCCAGUUCCUUAUCCCCCAAACCAUUUUCGGGUCUACUCUGUGCUGGCCACCGUGGCAGGUGCCAUAGGGUACAAAGUUGAAUAAGACUUCCUUCCCCACAUGAGCAUACUCACAGUCUAGUACAGAAGAAGCUGCAUAAUAACCAUGGGCUGUUAUUCAGAAAGGCAGGGAAUGCUCUGGGUGCAUGAGGAAGAGCCACUCCGCUUUGCCUGAGAAUCUUGGAUGGUGGCAGAGAAUCACCCGGGACACAAAGGAAGGAAGGGCACGCCGCAGAAAGAAUAUAUACAACAUUGUGUUUCAGAGUCUAAAUCCAGGCAUUCCAGGGACAUAACUGUCGAUUUCAAGUCUCUGUAGGUCCCUCCUGUCCCUGGCAACAUGAUUUGGGAUCUUGUAAAUCGAACUCCAGUAGAUGUGCCCUGGAGGUCUAGAGUUCCCGGCAUUGAGGCGACCUCUGUACAUAUGUUUCCUACACCGACACAUGGAAAUAUUCUUCUAUUUAUUUAUUAUUUCAAUGCGGUGGUUGAUCAUGGUGGUUGAAGGGUUAUCACGAGUUUUUGAGGAUUUUAGUGCACCUUUUACAUACCCUGAGGGUCCACCUUCUGAAAUCAAUGAACGCCUCAUGAGCAUAUUCUUCCAGAACUGAGACCUUCAAAAAGAGGCACAUAAGUUCCCCAGUUUCCUAUGAAAGACAUUAUUCAAGUGUCCUCAAGUGACAGAUGGUCUAAUAAUUUGCAAAUACGUGCUCCUCACACUCUGAGGUCAGCUCUGUUUUACUUAAGAGCUUUCACUCACACGAGUACCAUCUGGAGCCCACAUCCUCUAUCUUGGGCUUCAAAUAAAUCCUGAUUUACCUCAGAAAUAUUUGCCAAGAGUCUGCUUGCUAGAAAAAUUACCAGUUUCUCUUCUUUGAGGACUGCCUUUGCAGUAUAUGAAACCUACCUGGUAGGCGUCCAUUGGAAUACUCUUUAAAAUGCUACAAGAAGAUACCUGUUGAGACAAAGAUUUGGGGAACUGAAGCUAAAUCUUCUUUUUCUUUUUCUUUUUGGUAUGUGUGGCGGGGGGUAGUCUGCCAAGAUUAAAUCAUUUUCUUUUAGCUGAAGCAUCCUAAUCCAAAUUAAAGCUGCAUGUGCUACAUCAUCAUCCCGAAUGAAUACUGCUGAGGUUUCUUUGCCAAGCAUCUUUUCAGCUAGCAGAAUUUGUAAGUCUGGGGCACAUUUUGAUCCGAUGAUGUUAUGUACGUAGAAGAAUGAAUGAGUGCUUGAGGAUGAACUUCAAACCGUGAAGGAAUCAUGUGCUAUUGUGUUCUUUGAAAAACCUGAAGAAUGCUUUUGUGGGGUCCACAAAAAGCUGGUGGAACAUUUGUGGCUAACGUUUGUGGAACGUUUGUGGCUAACACCUGGCAAAGGGAACCUGGGGGCUGGUGCUGAGGUCUUCUCUCCGGGGCAAAAACCAAGGUGCAUAUAAGAUUUUAUCAAUAAUUCCAAGGUGUCAUCCAAACCCAGGCCUGGGUCCACAGCACUCUGGAAAAUGCCUUAAGCAUUGGAGCUAAACCACUGAGAAAGGCAAGGAAGCUCAUCUAGCUACUCUAUUUUUGUGCCAGUCAUUAAACCCACAGACGCUCUGAGCACUGGCCAGCUUGCCGGGACUGGAAAUGAACCACUCCUGUCCUUUCACACUGACUUCCGCCUGAGAGCAGGAAGGCAUCCCUUUCCUCUCCAAAGUGGACCCGGAUGCAGCAGAUUCAACUGGUUUUAACUUUUUUUCAAACUUGAUUAAUAGUCAUUUGAGUCAAUUCCGGGUAGGAGGUCGGUCCUGCACACAUAAUUUUUUUUUUUUUUUUUUUUUUUUGUAUAUAGGGAAGUGAGUAAUUCUUAAGUUUUAGGGCAGGAAGAAAAUCUGGAACUUUACCAAGUUUAUUACAUUUGGGGGGAACAAUUAUAAAAGGCUUUUUAAAAUAAAUUUAGAAAAUCACCCACAAUUCCAUUAUCUAACAAUAGUGUUUUUGCCACUUCCAUGUUUAAAAAUCUAGUCUUCUCAAUAUUAAAACUAUAAAAAUGGGAUGAUGGCACCUAAUAUUUUGCAGAAUACAUUUCAUUAUUAAAAACUUUUGAUCAUUUUUUGAUACCCUUAAUUCCUAAAUAUAUUCAAAAAGUUGACAUGCAGCGUCACCUAGUAAUCCACAGAAUCCUCUUUGGAAACGCUGUAAAAAAUCAAACCAGAAAAUGUCUCAAGAAAGUUAACAGAGAAAGCUCUAGUAAGGAAAAAACUGGGUUUGAAUCCCAGUUCUCCCACUAACCAGCCAAAGAAGCAUGAACAAUGCAUAAAUAAUUCAAGUCAUAACCCUUUAGUGACCACCUGCUAUGUGACAGGGACUUUGUUAAGGGUCUUGCCUGUGUUAAUUUCACUCGAUCCCGGAACCCCAUAUGGCUAGUGCUAUUAGUAUUCCUACUUUGCGGAUGAGGAUAUAGAGGCUAAGGAAUGUUUCCUGCAUAAGAUCACAAAGCGAAUCAACACCAACUCGAUCUGGCCUGUGUCCACUCCACCAGACUGAGUUUCCCUGAUGCUCCUCCUCUGACUCUUGGAGACCUGGUCCCCGCCCCACCUCCUUCCCCACCGCUGUGAGUUCCCCUAACACUGGGCUAUUUCUCACUCCCAGCCUUAGCACCAACUCUAACACUCAACCCUCCCCUUCACCUUUAUGUUUCCCUCUCCAUGCCACUUGCUCCAGGAAGCCUUCCUGAUACUUGGUUAUACACUCUCUUCAUUAUAUAUUCUCUUCAUUCAUAGGCACAUGUUCAUUAAGAACACUUAUGGGGGUUAAUUCUUUUGGUAACUAUGAGCUCACCUUCCAUCUCCCCUGCUAGACUGAGGCUCCAAGGUGCCCUCACAUCUGUAUUAUUUACCCCCACAAUGUGAGUAAGUGACUCAUUCUGAAGUCUUUAACUGGCAAGGUGGUCAGUUCCUAUUAGCUCUUUUCUAAACCCGUGGCUUUCAGCAUGACAAAAGAAAAGUAUAAAAGAUGAAAGAAAUUGCUCAGUUAACUUGCAGGACUUUGGGUGAGUAACCUUGAGACGCUGGGGAUUUUGAAAGCCGGGUCCAUCCUCUGUUUCUUUUUGAACAGAAGCUUGAAUCUGCACACACCAUUUUUGCCGAGAGAGAACAUGAAUGGCUAUGGAGGAAGUGCAUUUACACUGCAGCCACAUGAAGCUUUAAGCCCACGGAACUGUCACUAAACAAAAAUUUGAUCGCGGCCACCGAGCUUCUCCCACUAUAAUUAAGACUGGAAUAAGAGGUCCUAGAGUGGUUGUGCUAAGGCUCAAUUUCUCCUGUGAGGGGCACCCCUGCCUCAGUUUCCAUGGCCAAAUAAAUAAAGGAGAUGCUGCAUCAAAACUGGUCUUGAAAAUUCACAGGGCACGUUAGCACAUUAGUCAGACUGGGAGGUCCUGCGGGGAGAAAAAAAAAAAAAAAAAAACACAACUAUGUAACUUUGUUCAGUUCCUGAGUUUAUUUGGCCAUGUUUAGUCAUAGAAUGCUGCCUUUGAUUAGACUAUGCCAGAAGCAGACCCUGAGAUAAGGAUUUAAGCACAAGAAGGUUUAUUUGGGAGGUGAAUUUGUAAAAAGCACCAGAAGGGGAGAAAGGGAGUGAGACUGGGGAGGGAAGGAGGCUGAUGCAGGGUGCGUGAAUGAGCAAGUUUACCCCUGUAGGCAACUCAAAGGCAGCCUCGCUGGGGACCCAUGGAAGAGGCUCAAACAGGUGACCCGUCUCAGCAGUGAGGAAACUGGAUUUUAUUCACCCAUUCUCAUCAGUUGUACACCGAGGGCUGCUUUGGGGGCCACUAGCUUCCUGUAUGGUAGCGGGAGCAUGAUGUCAGGCAAAGAGUAGCAGGUGUUUACAACAGAGCCCCGGGUGACAUGCACAGGGACUGUGAGGGCUGAGGGGAGGUGGGUGGGACCAUGUCUGCUGCACCAGUGUCCCUCUCCGCCUUUUCUUUUUUCACACAGGACACCCAUUCACACCUGGUGGACGUGGUAGGUGAGGACCAAAAUGUGGAAAACAAAAUUCCAAAAUUUGAAAUUCAAGCAGUUCGAUGAGUUCCCAGAAGCUAUCCUGCAGCUGAACACACGGAGUGAAUGCUAUGCUGUAGUUUGCAAAACCCCAAAGGAAAUUCCUGUGAAUGCCACCAAAUACCAAACAUAUAAAUCUCAAGACUCAGCAGAAAUAGCCUUGGAAAAUCGUAACUUAUGGGAUGCUACAUCAAAAAGCCUUCUAGGGAUCCAAACUUAGAAUGGGGUUCUAACCCAGGCUGUCUGUGAAAGCGAAAAACCCUAUUUCCCACAGCCAAGAGCACCUUGUCCUACCGAUGUAUGGUGACAGCAGGCUACGUCCACAACAAGCUAGGGCUUGUCAUGUAGAGAUACAGACAAAGCCGAAGAGCUCCGGGGAACCCCACUCUUAUGGACUGUCUUACAGCCAAGCAAAGUCAG
rnacentral:lncRNA from 1 species